GGAGUUUGCAAAUCUCAACAUUAUCCUCUCUGCUGAAAUAUUAAAAUUUGAAAUAUUUGAAACAAACACAUCUUUCAAGGAGGUAACCUUCUGUACAGACAAAGAACCUUCAUCCACCAAUUCUUCACACCCUUCAACCCAUAUUUUACGCAGCAAGGGAAAACAAGAAAUUGAAACUACCAGUCUCUUACACUCAUAGAUUUCAAGUGUCUGCAAGGAUUGAAGGAUGGUUGGCAACCUUCCCAACAAUAGAGGACAUCUUUUAAUUGAAAGCUUACGAAGGCUGGGAAAUUUCGAAACUUGCUCAUCGUCUUCACAUAGGUUCCACUCCUCCCAAUUCAGCAUAUUGUCAAAACACAGAGACUCUAGUGAUGCAAAAGCAUUUGAUUGAUUUUCUCCAAACAACUCAGCACCAAUCUUGUGUACUUGAUCCAAACCACUAAUUGAAAGAUCUUUUAACCACAACAACCUUCCAAUCGAUGGUAGAGAUUUGCAAUUUUUACAAUUGCGAAGCUCCAAUGACAACAUAUUUUCGAAGGAAGAAUCUGCAAUCCAAGUAGAGAAUUUCGCACCACCAUAAUUCUGAAUGACGAGUUGCUCAAGCUUUUUUGGAGGACGAAGAGAGUCCAACACCCAUUCUUCAACUUCUUUAUUCCUUGAAGCCUUUUCAAAUUUUUCACUCCAAUGCAAUACCAAUCGACGAAUUCCCCGCUUCUCAUUUAACUUGGUUUCCCCUGCAUCUUCACCAUUAACAUUCUCCAACCCAGAAAGACGGAAAUCACCUUUGAGGUUUGACAAAUAUUUCAAACCUCUAAUAUAACAACCAUCACCUUCCCCUAUUAUAAAAUCAGUUAACCUUUGAAGUUUCGUUAGCUUAUCAAUUCUAAAAGGAAUCCUUUCUAUUGAGUCCGCACCUCUGAUAUCAAGAUAAUGCAAGUUGACAAGAUUUCCCAUCUUUGAAGGUAACCUUUGAAGCCAGUAACACCCUCUUAAUAAUAAAGUUUCCAAAUGGUAAAGAGUGCACAAAGAAUCAGGUAAGCAUUUGAUAUGGGUGUUGGAAAAAUUUAAGUAGCGAAGAUGUUUUAAAUUUUCAAAAACAUCAGGCAACUCAGUGAUCCAAUACCCACUCAAAGAAAGCAUCCUUAAGUAGCCAAGUCUUGGUAGCAAAUCAACCAAAACAACAUUAGUUAAAAAAGGCCCCCGAUAAUCACUAGAAAACAUUAAGGGUAAAAAAGUACGUAAAGAAUUCACUUGAUCAAAUGCUUCAAACUUCUUCACUGUGUCAUAUGUUCCAGCAAUAUAAGAAGAAUGUCGAGUGCGAUUUGAGAACUUCCAUUUCUUAUCACCCUCUAAUUUUGAGCAUAUUUCCCCUGCAACUACUUGAGCUAAAUCAUUGAUUAGGUCAUGCAUUACGAAUCGGGACUUAUCUUUACUGGAUGUCUGAAAAAAUGACCUGGACACUAGAUCUUGAAAAUAUUGAUUUCCGAGAUCUUUAAUUUGAGGCAUAGCUUUUUGUUGCAAGAGACCUUCUGCUCCCCAUAACAAGAUAAUUUCUUCUUCCUCAAAUUCAUAACCUUUAGGAAGUAUGGAGCAAUAUGCAAAACAUCGUUUCAAGUAUGACGGAAGAUGAUGGUAGCUUAAUCGCAAAGCUGGAAUUAUGCCACACUGCUCUUCUGGUAAGUUCCAUAUCUCACUCUCGUAUAUUCUUUCCCAUCCUGCAUAGUCUUUAACUGUGCGUAGCAAGCUUCCGAUGGCUUUUGCAGCCAAAGGUAAGCCACUGCACCUUCUAACAAUUUUCUCCCCAAUUUCUUUAAACUGGAGAUCUCUAUCGAAAUUUCUUUCUUUUAAUGCAUGCUGUGUAAAUAUGGAUAAACAAUCAUCAUCCGAGAGUUUAUCCAAAUGAAAAGCUUUGAGCGGAUCCACAAUAGAUGAAACAAUUUGAAGACGAGUGGUUACAAUGAUAUGGGUCCCUGCUCCAAACGGAGACCGUAAGAUGGUCCAAUCAUUAUAAUUCUCGUUCCAAAUGUCAUCUAAAACAAGCAAGAAUCUUUUCCCAGACAACUUCUCCUUCAACUUAACUUGAAGUAAAUUCAAGUCAUUCUCGUCACGAGAGUCAGGAUCGAUGGAUUUUAAAAUUGUCCUGGUUAUAUUAACUGCGUUAAAUUUAUCAGAAACGCAUACCCAGGCCUUGUGGUGAAAAGACUGGUUGAUGGUGGCAUCAUUGUAAACAAGCUGAGCAAGAGUUGUUUUACCCAUCCCUCCCAUGCCGACGAUGGAAAGGACUGAAACUCCGUUGGAGUUAUCACCUUUGAGAAACUCAAUCAUUUCUGUCUUCUCCUUGUGUCUGCCAACAUAAUCCACAACUCCAUCCAGUACGGAAGUUGGUUGCAGCCUAGGUUGCUUUCCCUUGGGGGUUGGAGCUUGAGACAAGAUCUCACUCAACCCCAAACUACUUCUUCGAGUAGUCAAACUAUUCAGUCUAGCAGUGAUCUCUUUCACCUUUGGAAUCAUGGAAUUCUGAAACAGGAAAGAAGUGGGAGGGAAAAUACUACGAAUAAUCCUUUCAGGAAUGAAUUUCCGUAUCUUACUAGGUCUGGCUUGAGCUUGAGUGUCUUGGAGAUUGAGGCGUAACUCUUCAUAAGCGAACUCGUCCAAGAUGUCAUCCACAUCGUAUGCCAAGUCCUGGAGAUCCUCCAACCAUUUCUUCACACCCAUGUUCUUGAUCUGCUUCCCCUCUGCAUCGUCCAACACUGCUUGGAUAUCAGGCAAUAUGGACUGCCACUGCUUGAGCUGCUGGUGGAGUUGGUAGUGAUCAGCAACAAAGUUGAGUGCAGAGUCAAGCGAUUUGCCCACCAACAGGUCCAGGAACCCAGAAAGAGCAGCCUCUCCAAUGACAGACAUGGUGGAAUUGUGAGAAAUAAGGGGACAAGAGAAAUGAGCAAAGCCAAAAUGGAAAGUCAGGGAACAAAAAAGAAAGAAAGGGAAAUGGAAUCUGCAAAAUUAGAGAAAGUUGAAGAAAUUGGCACAGUAUCCUUGAAGCAUGUCAUUUAAUAAUUCAGACUCUGAAGCAAUGAGUUGGAAGUCUUUUCGUGUUAAUGGGGAAGGAAAAAUGGAAAUGAUGGGACCUUUGCAUUUGAAUUUUGAUGCUCUUCUUUUCUCUUGCUUUUGGUCAUUAUCCUAAAUAUGUAAUUUAAUUAAACAUCAAAAUAUUAUAUUUCUCACAACUAUAUCGCCAAAAUAUAGCAAACACCAAGACCAUAUUUGGUUCGCUGUAAUAGAAUAGAGGCGUAAUGGAAUAGAGACGUAAUAGGUAAUUCUUUUGUUUGGUUGAGUGGAAUGGAAUAGAGGCAUAAUGGUAUUCUUGUGUUUGGUUGAAUGGAAUAGAGGUGUAAUAGCAUAAGGAAAAAAGCUAAAAUGACUAGAAUACCCUUAACAGAAUUUUUGUAAGUAAAUGAUUAUUGUUAUUGUUAUUAAAUUUUAAUAAGAUUAUUAAUAUAAAUAAUAAAUAAUUUAAUCAUAUUUUAACAUGGUUGUUAUUAAAUAUAAUUUAAUAAAAAUAUAUAAUUUAAUAAAAUUGUUAAUAAAUAUUCUUAUAUGAAUUUACUAAAAUCAUAAUAUAUAAUAUUAUAAAAUAUAAUUUAAAAUAAUUAUUAGUAAAUAUCAUUUAAUAAUAAUAUAUAAUUUAAUAAAAUUCUUAUUUUUAUAUGAAUUUACUAAAAUCAUAAUAUAUAAUACUAUAAAAUAUAAUUUAAAAUAAUUAUUAGUAAAUAUAAUUUAAUAAUAAUAUAUAAUUUAAUAAAAUUCUUAUUCUUAUAUGAAUUUAUUAAAAUCAUAAUAUAUAAUACUAUAAAAUAUAAUUUAAAUAAUUAUUAUUAAAUAUAAUUUAUAAUCUACUUUAUUAUUUUUAAACUGCAAUACAUAUUUAAUGUGGUAAAAUAUCAUUUGUGGAACAAAUAAUUUAAUUAUUCUACAAUAAAAAAAUAUUAGCAGUAAUAAAUAACUUUAGAAUUAUAUUUUGCAUAAACAUAAUUUUCACAUAUUAACAAACUGUUAAAUGAAAUUCAUGAAAUUCUAUAUCACAAUCCAUAUGUUAUACAGUUUUGCCACAUCAAAAAGUUAAAACAUUGUAAUAACAUAUCAUCCCAAAUAUUACAAACAGAAAAAGUUACGAAAAUGUCAUCAACAAAACCAUAAUUUUUAAUGGUCAGCAAGAAUUCUUCUGACCCAUUCCAACCGUACAUUCAGAAGGUAAACUAAAGAAAACGAGCAUUUGAGUUGGAUGAUCUGUAAUUUUACUCAAUGCUCGAAACCGCUCAUCCACAGUUAAACCUUCUAUUUCACAUAAGGUUGGAUAUAAAUUUGUAGCUUUUUCUUGGAUGGUAUGGAAUUCUUCUGACCUUUGUUGAACUACCACAUCAGAGGCAAUACUCCUACUGAUUUGUUCGCCAAUGGCCCGCAUGUUAUCAGUCAAUAAAGUGGCAGCUUCAUUAACUGAAGAAGAAAAAUGACCACUUGCAUCAGAAUUAUUUUUUUUCCUCUUUGAAGAUGAAGAACCCCUUUGGUUUCUAUCUGGUUGCGGCUCCGUAGCAGAAACAUCCAUGUCCUCCAAAGAGACAUUAUCAUCGCAGUCAUAGUAUUCGUUUCUUUCUUCAUUAAUAUCUGCAGUAGGUACAUCCUUAGCAUUUAUUUCUUCAAGAACGUCAGCGGCUGUUUGAGCGUCUUUCCCAGUCGCUCGAUCUUUUGCGUAUAUGGCAGUCAGUUGGUCGUAGUAAGGGAAACUACGAUGUCUGAACUGACCGGCUUCUUUAUGACUCUAUAAAAAAGAGGAAAUCAUAUUAGUUAUAAGUUUGGUAAAAAUAAGAUAAUAAAGACUUGAACUCAUUCUUACCUUUAAAUAAGAGUCCCAAACCGCAUCCUCAGCAACAACGACCUGCCUAUGGUCGUCCCAACCAAAACCGCUAUUGUUUUGGCCAUUAAACAUGUCAUACACGAUUGACCAAUCCCUUUUUAGUAACCUAAUCCUUGACUCGAUAUUAGGUCUAGCCUUCAACAUUGCAUUAGGUAAAGUCUUUUCUAACAUUUUUUCCAACUCGUUUAAGUAACCGGCUUUGAACCCCGUAUCAGUGUUAAAUGUUCCAACAUUGUGCAAGUCCACCAUGCAGGAAACCAAUGCUGCAGCUUCUUCUGAAACCCAUUUUCUUUUGGUUCCUCGAGAUGAUUGGGAAGGAACAUUUGAUUCUGAAACACCUGACAUAAUUAUCUUAAGAAAAAAAAUUAAAAUUAAGUUUAAUAUCAUGAAUCAAAAGGUGAACACUUUAUAAAAUUAAAAUUGAGUUCAAUAUCAUGAAUCAAAAACUCAACACUGUAUAAAAUUAUAACACAUGAUGAAUGAAAAGAAAUCAAACUAUAAUUCAACAAGUUUAGUACAAUACAAAAAACACAAAAACACCACCAAAGUUCCAUCCUCCAUAAAUCUAACUAAUUUCUAGAUGCUUGCCAUUCAUCAAACAUUUGGUUGGCUAGUUCCAUCUCCAAGUAGCCCAAGCAUCCGAUGGAUGAAUAUUGACGAUAUGAGGUUUAUCGUCAUCUACCACAUCACUAGGUAAUCCUUCUCCCACCUCCGCUUCAAUAGGAUCAAUACUCAUAUAGGUUCGAAUAAAAUUAUGGAGCAAACAACAUGCAUUAAUGAUUCUAUUGUGCACCCUUACAGGAUAGAAUGAUGGACUCCUAAGUAUUCCCCAUCUAAGUUUUAAUAACCCAAAGCAUCUUUCAAUAACAUUACGUGCUGAGGCAUGUUUCAUAUUAAAAAAUUCUUGCAGAGUACUUGGCUGAUAACCCUGACGCCACUCAUUCAAAUGAUAUCAUUGUCCUCUAAAAGGUGCAAGAAAUCCCUCACAAUUUGUGUAUCCAGCAUCAACUAGAUAAUAACAACCUAUUAAAAAAAUUUAAAAAUGAUUAAUUCCCCAAAAAAAAUUGAUCUUAAUGAAUAAUUCAAAGUCCUCUAACUAUCCACUUUACCAUGAGGAACUUUUAGUCCAUGUCUCCUACUAAUGGCAUCUCGAAGAACUCGCCCAUCAGCAACAGAACCUUCCCAACCAGGAAGAACAUAAACAAAUUGUAUUUUAGGUGUACAAACACCUAGAACAUUUGUUGCUAUGUCACCUUUUCGCGUUCGAUAUCUAGGUUUAUCAACCCUUGGAACCCUAAUCUUGAUGUGGGUUCCAUCAAGAGAACCUAAGCAAUUCUAUAUGACAUGUUAUAAAACCUUGAGUUAGGAUACUAAAUUUAAAUCUAAAUCAACUAAAUUAUGUACAAGCUAUAUAUAAAACUCAGUCCAAUACCUUAAACCAUUUCCACCUUCUGUCUGAAGAAUUAGCUGUAAUUGGCUCCGCUUUUUAAAUAACACAUCUUGUAAGCGUAUGACAGCAUUUAAAACACUAUGAAAUGAUCUGCUAACAGUUUCCCCGGACCUAUUGAAGUGAUGCUUGAUAACUCGAUUUUUAAGGUGAUAGGAAAUGAUAUGUAAAAACAUUGCUACUUGCUCAUCAACAAGCAUGUGCCUUGACGACUUCAAUCCCCCUAACGUUUGUAAUAUCUCACAUAGUUUGAAAAAGGAAAAUCUAUUCAUCCUAACUUGUUCAAUACAGGUCUCAUCACUAGCAUAUACAAGCCUUUUCACAUAAUCCCGUUGUGCAUAAAAAUCUAAAAUAUAGGACCUAAUCAUUGGUCUAUAAGUAUGUAGGCUAUUGAUGGCACCCAAUGUAAGUAAAAACCAACUCGCAAUUUUACAUAUUUCCAACCAUAUUGUCAAUGCAAUUCCAAUUCUUUUACGCCUCACACUUUGUGCAAUUAAAGGCAGACGAGCCAUUACUGCAAGAUAUUAAUGUGUUCCAUAUUGUCAAAUCGUAGUAAAAUGGUCACAUUUCUCCAAUCAUAAUUUCAAUAACAGUAAACUAAAAUUAAAUAAUUUAAUUGCCAAAGAACUUACAGUGAUUGUGUGAAAAGAAGACGCUGAAUUGUAGGUGGAGGAAGCAAUCAAACAAGCCGCUUCAAUAGGAAGCAAUAUCACACUAUCAAAGAAAAAUGAACAAUACUAGUUUAAAAUCUUAACCGUAUUUUUUGACAACAAUGUUACAAAUUUAACAUUAACAAACCACAUUUUUCUUUAAAGAAUUUUUAGAAGCACUUUCAAUCAUAAUAACAAUGAAUACUUGUUUUCUUUAAACAAUUUUUACAAGCACUUUCAAUCAUAAUAACAAUGAAUAUUUGUUUUUUAAUCAAGUUGUUUACUUGAUUAUAUCUAAUGAUCAAAUUUUAAUAUAUCCAAUAAUUGUUUUUUAAUCAAGUUGUUUACUUGAUUAUAUCUAAUGAUCCAAUUUUAAUAUGUUAUAAAUAUUUGUUUUUUAAUCAAGUUGUUUACUUGAUUAUAUCUAAUGAUCCAAUUUUUAUUUUAUUUUAUUUACUCAUGAUUGGAUUAGGUUUAAUUUAUAAUGGUUGAAAAGUCGAUAUAUAUGUAAUAUUAUUAAAAUAAUAUUUUUAAUUUUGUUGGAUAUAAAAAUAUUUUUAAUUAAUGCGUUGUAUAUGAAUAUACACAUUUAAUUAAUGUGUUGUAUAUGAAUAUACAUUAGUGCAAGAAAUCCUAUAAUUUCGUACAGGUCUCGUAAUUGCUCGAUUAAAAUUUUCGAACUACCUCAACUUAAGAAAUUCGAUCCCAAAUUCAAAUUUUUCAAUACCAAUAAAAAUCAACUUAUUACAUCACCACUUGCAAAAUAUAAUUAUAAAAACAUUACUAUGGAGUAAGCCAUAAAAAAAAACAGUCCAAUUUACUGGAAUUGCAACUAUAAAAAACCUCUUGAAUUGCAACUAUAAAAUACCUCUUGAAUUGCAACUAGAGCUUCAGCUUGCCAACGAUUUAUGUCUGGAGCAAAUCGGUAGCUAACAGUCCAAUACGUACAAAAGUUCACAUAGAACAUCAAUUUAUUGGAACAACAGUGGUCAGAUACACCAGGCGCAAGAAAUUUAACAAGGGUGCUAAUAUACAAAAGAAUUUACACUUCUAAGCAUUAGAAAUCAAAUUAAAAUCAACUAGUAUUAAAAUAAUUAUCACAAUAUUUGUAAAAUUUAUAAUUAUAACAAGUGGCAAAUUAUUAUUUUGUCAAUUAAAGGAGCACAAUCCUUAACUGUCAGCCUCCUGGUCACUAAAGGAACACCAAGGUACCUAAUAGGCAGCCUUCCCAUGUUAAUCCCAAUAAUUCUAAGAAUAUCCUCCAUUUCCUCUCAAGAAUCCCAGAAGCAAAAAUUUCAGUCUUUGCAGGGUUAGGCUUUAAACUAGAAAAACAAAUUUAGCAUCACAUCAGGUAAGUGCUUUGUAAGUCAUUUAACCAAAAUCCUAGUGAUACACUCACAAAAAAGCAGAGCAGUAUGAGAUUGGCCGAAACUUCCUCAUAUGACCAGGAUUUUUAACCUUGGGAACUAAUACAAUUGUGGUUGUAUUAAAAGCAGGCAACAACUUAGAGUAAUUAAAAAAACAACACUGCUCUAAUCACAUCAGCGCCUACGAUAUGCCAUGCAACUUUGAAAAAAUCCCAGGCCAAUGUUUGCAUAGUUGGGUGUUGUGAAGGUUCCGGCAAUGCGGUUAGAUGCAAAACUCCACAUGCUGAUAGGAUGAACACAGAUGAUUACAUAGACAACAUCAUUCUUGUAGCAGACACAGAACCUAAAUAAUUACAACAUGUCAUAUAAAAUAGCGCAGUUACCAAAAGGCAACCUAGGCACUUGAGGUAGACAUACUUCAGGAAGCAUUUCCAUGUUUGGUAUGCAGCUAAUGUUUGUUUACCAAUCUAGCAGUCCAUUUUGAAUUAACCCUACCAUUAAUACACAUGUAUAUUACACACUAAAAGUCAAAAGGAGAAGAGUAAUAAGAUUUCCUCAUGUAUAUAUUACACACUAAAACCAUGUCGGAUAUAUGCUUAUAUCAAAGCACUCACACAAAGUAACAUAGAAGAAGGUUACUUGACAUAAAUAGAAUGUCCUAAAAACCCUCUGAUUGAUGCAAACUUACCUCUUUUCAACUUUCAAGGUAUUGACACUAGGUUUAUGAAAAUUUCCCUUGACAGACGAUUUGAUUUCAAUUUCAACAUAUUCCAAGCCAAGACAAGCUAAAAUAAGUUAUCAUACAAUUUCGUUUCAUAUCAAUGUUAUAAAUAAAUACCCUAUCCUUAAGAAUGACAAAGCAUCUUAAAUCAGAAAAUUUCAUUCUAAAACUGCUAUUGAUAAUUUAUAUAUAAAAGAGCCAAAAUCACCUAGAAGUUGAAUCACUAGUAGAUAUAAGGAAGAAAAUGAAAGUACCUAGAAAAGAAAGCACAAACAUAAAUCCCAGAAAGAAACAAAAAUUGAAACGAAAAGAAAAGGUAAACAAUUCGGAAACAAACCAGCAAUGAACUGAAACAAAACUUAACCAAUUAGAGGGUAUGAUCUUUACAAUUAAAAGCAUCUUACAGAGCAUCGGGAAGAAGAAGACGAAGAGUUCUCCUUGUCUCUUUUCUAUACGCUUUUAACUGUAUUUUCCCCGACUCUGGGAUUUUUUUGAUUUGUCUGCUGAAAUUGAAAAAAAAGGAUCAAGAAUCAAGCAUGUUGGUCAUGGGAACAAAUUUAAUAACACUAAUCUAUUUGAGAGAAUUGUUAAAACCCCUUACAUUCCAAAAAAGGAUUAACUAAAUCUUCUUCCAGUUCACAUUGAACAAUCUGUUCCAAUUCACAUUCAUCAUUCAAUAUCUCAAACCUAUUUUCAGAACCAGAAAUAACAGCUUUCCCUUUACCCUUCGAAGAUUUCCUCUUAACCAUACUUGAAGCACUCCCCUGUAACUCAUUCGCAGCCAUUACAACUUCUAAUUUUUUAUCAAAUGAAUUAAAGUUUCAUUUUAGGAAUAUAUUAAAUCUUUGAUCACGAAAAUUGGGAUUCAUGAUUCAAUUCAACUAGUUUAAGCCCUAGUUUUCAGAAACCUUAGAUGCCAAUUUUUAACGAUAGUUACAUGAUUCAACUAAUUUGAUGAAUCAAGUCUUACUAAAACCUCAUUUUAAAGGUGAAUGCAUGAUUCAAUUUCUAGAAAUGUUGAAUCUUUCAUCAUAGACAUAAAAGGGAAAACACGUUGAAAGAAAAAUGUUAGGGCAGACAAUGUUUACCUUGAUUGAAUUGGAAAGGUUUUCUUGAGGGUUUCUUUGGAGAUACUUGUUGGGAUUUGAAGAACAGAAGUCUAUUUUUGGACUUCCCUACUCACUGCAUUUGAAGAACAGAAUGGUGCGUUUGGUUCGACAAAACAAUCAAAUGAAAGUGAACCGGGAGCGGUGGAGGUCACUUUGCUGGCAGCUUCUAUUUGAUGUUGGGAGGGAGAGUUCUGGAGGUGGAUUUUGGCUUGGGAAGAUGAGGGUAAAACAGGGCAUAGAAAUUCUAAGAAUGCUAAACGGAAGCUAAACUGAACUUUGGGCAGGGAAUAGAAAUUGGUGAGUAAGGAGGAAUACGUACGCAAUGUAAUAGGCGCGUAAUGGGCAUUAGAGCGAACCAAAUGCUGGAAUAAGUGGGGCCCACCGAUUCGGCGCGUAAUGGUAUACCCAUUACGUCGAACCAAACAAAGUGCAAUACUCAAAAUUUUUGAAUCACAAAUAUUUACAGUAUUUAGCAUAUAGAAAACAAAAUUCUGAAAUUAAAUAAUAAUUUUUAUGAUUUUACAAUUUUAAUAGUUUAUAUCUUUAUAAAAUUUAAAAGAUUAAAUUAGAUUUUUAUCAUAUUUAAGGGAGUAAAGUGUAAUUUUAUAUUUAUUAAUUUAAAAUUUUAAAAUAUUUAAAGAGCUUAAAUGAAAAAUUUUUUAUUUUAGAGGACCAUGCCAACCCCUAGCUACGCCCGAGAUUGAUUGUAGCUAUAUUGUUAAUUGAUUUACUAUUUUACUAUUUAUACUAUUAUUUAAGCUUAUGACUAGUUGAUGUCACGAGUUAAUCAAGUACCAACUUGGUUAAAGAAAAUAUGAAAAUGUCACUCUAGUCUUUUUAUUAUAAAAAAAUAAAAAUAUGUGCAUAUAAUGGGAUUUUGAACCCAUAUCAAUUACAUUAAUAAAAUUAUUAAUUUACCACUCAACUAAAACUUUAAUAUUUUUAUACAUUUUUAUUUUAUUGUGCACACUUUAUUGUUAAUUAAUUUCAAACAUUAUGCUUUAAUUAUUUAUUGUAUGUUAUAUUCAAACGCACACUUAUAUUCUAAAUAUAUGAUUCCCAAACAUACGUGUGUGAUAAGUAUACUAAUUGUAACCUAUCUUACUAAUUGUUGUACUAAUUUAUGAUUUGCUUUCUUACUAGCUAGAUCUGUUAGCCAAACUCAAAUUACCUUCCUUUUAGAUCAAUUAAUUGACUUAAACCUAACUCAAUUACAUUUCUUUCUAGAGUGAUUAACCAAAAUAAUCGACCGAACCAAUUAAACGAGAUUGUUUCUAUUAUUAUAUUUAUGAAAUCAUGAUCGUUUAGUUAUUGGUAUUUUUUGUUGGGGUUAGGUUAAUUUAAUUUUCAAUAUUUCUAAACUAAAAUUUACAUCUAGAUUUGAUGAUGAUUGCUUGUCCACAGUUCAUGGGUUUCAAUUAUACCAACCUAUUCAAUCUUCUUUUUUCCCUAAUGCAUGUGAGAUCUCUUUUUCUUUUCCUUAGCAAAGUAUUUAGGGUCUCUCUUUUUUGGUCAAAGUAAUCUUUAAAUUUAAUAAAAUAAUUUAAAAACCCUAAUCACUUCUCCAUAAUUGAUGGAACUUACAAGUAUAAUUAACAAAAAAAAAAUACUGUUAUAAAUAAUUUAUGUCUCACCAAUUAUAACUAUAGAAUCAACUUAGUAUAGAAUACAAAAAGACUAAAAUCUAAUUAAAUACAAACAAAUAACAUUAAGAGUGAAAUAUAGGAAAGAACCCACACAUGAUAUUUACGUAUUAUGAAACUCAAACUUGGGCUCUCGAGUCCCAACAAAUCUCAUUGGCUCAUAAGCAAAUAUUUUAAUGUAUAACUAAAUUCAUUACUGAAUCAGUACUCUAGAAAUUAGUUAUUCUUAAGUUGAAAGAUUUGUAUGUAUAACAAAUUUAUAUAGUUUUAGAGAAGAAGAUGGAAGAUGGCCAAAUAGAAAGGACCAUUGGAAGGAUGAUAGUGAAGUUCCAGUUCCUACUCAGUUUCUGGUAUUAAAGAUGAUGGACAAUGUGGAAGGGAAACUAUUGAACAGGUCAUAUUGAAGAAAUAGUAGGGUGAUUAUAACCAAAGUGUAUUAAGGGUCGGACCUUGGCUUUUGAAUUUUGAUGAAAUCUCUCUGCCAUUUCUGAAAUUCCAAUUUUCCUUUAAGGAAAACGAUGACGACGAUGCCAAUCUAAUUCCCAUUCAAUUAAACCCUGAUCUCGAUCACAAUGCCAUCUACUGCCCAUAUAUCAAGUUAUUAUUUCCAUUCACUUUAAAGCCUGUUGUAGUUUUGGUUCAAUUUAAUAUUGCCAUUAAACAUCAUGAUUAAUUGACACAAUAUAGCAACCACACACAUGUCCUACUUUCUUUUGGGGUUGAAAACAUCACUGUAAAUGCAAAAGGAGAGAAGGUGAAGCCUUUCAAAUUCUCCACAUGCGAAAUGGUGCUGACAUGUCAGAUGGGCUGAUGUGGCAUACUAUGUUAGAAAAAUUAUAAAAAUAUUUUAAAAUUAAUAAAACAUAUAUAUACAUUUAGAAUAAAUCUGGACAAUGGUUAUCCAAAUUCAAAUGAAUUUGGACAAAACAAAUAUAGCCUUUAUACCAAAGCAAUUAGUUUUAUAUUAGAGGUAUUAGAGUUUAGGUUCUAUUUUGUUAAUCUACUUAUACAUGUUAUCUAAUAUGUUAAUUUUGUCUCAAAUUCAAAAAUAAUUGGUGCUCAAAAUGAUUCAAACCUAAGAUGACAUAAGUUUGAGAUGACCCUAUUUGAAAAACUUAAAUGGUGGUAAUCCAAAAUGGCUCAAACAUGAAACAACUUAAACCCAAAAUUGACCCGAACCAUAAUGACUCUCUAUUUAUAGCAGUAACAGAAAGGCAAAAUAGUAAAUAUGAAAGGGAAAAAGAGUAAAAAUCGUAGGGUUACCAUUUCCGUGCAAUAGUAAAAAAUAUAUUUUGUUGCCAAAAUUUUCGCAACCGUCAAAAAUCGAAAAAUGUUUUAAAGAAAUUAUUUUUUGAAAAAUAAUAUUGAUUAAAAUUAGAGAUAAAUUAUGGAUGAAAAUAUUGAAUUAUUUCAAAUGAUGAAGAGCAACUUUAAUAAUGUAGAGGGACUGGGUCGGUGUACCGAGGAUGAUACUUCGAAGGCUACUCUCAGAAGAGUCGAUCUGUAGCUCAAGUGGUACCAUAUACCUCAACAAUUGACCUAUAUUCAAUAGGUUAAGGGUUCGAAUCUCAUCAAGGGUGAGACUCUCAUGUCGCCUCUUAGUGGUGAUUGCAAGUCCACAUACGGUCAAGGCACCCCUUUUUGUGAGUAGUACAUGGCUCUCCACGGAGUGGGGGACAAAACCCUCUCACAGGGGAUAAUACCUUCUGUUGUUGAGACACUGGAUCGGCAUCCUCAAAGACGGCACUUCAAAAACUUCUCUCGAAUAAGCCGUCCCCAUUAACAAAUAAAUAAUUACUCUACACAACCGUAUUCUAUCUUUUAAAAUUAUUAUUUUGUCCCUUAAGAUAUCCAUUAAUCUUUUUAUGUAUUUCUAAUAUACAUGCUAUAUAUAUAGUAAAAUGAUAUAUAUAUAUAAUCUACACUAAAUAUGAGAAGAUUAUAAAUAUAAUAAUCUAUAAUUACUAAUGAAAAUUUUGGUUUGUACCGUUCACAUUGGCCGAAACAUGGUACACCUACUACUGCUGCAUUAAUAAUGUUAAAAAAUAUAAAUAUUUUAACUAUUUUCUAUUAGACUAAAUAUUUAAUUGAAAUGUAUUGACCAAUAAAAAAAAUAUUACACUAGAAAGUAAAAUUUAACAUUUAAAAUUUUUUUUGGAGCAUACUUUUUCAUGUAAAAUAUAAAAAUUAAAAUAUAAUAGAAAAAAACCCACUCACCUCAUUAUCAUACAGCUUUUCUUAUUGAAAAAACCCCCCACAUCCUUCAAUUUCUUUUUUUCUUCUUAAUUUUGAAUUUUUUGAAUGAUGAGUUUUGUAUUUACUGUGGUUGUUUUAUUAAUAAAAUUAUGUUUUGGAUUGAGAAAAAAAAUUAAGAAAUUCAAAACACAAAAACGAAAGUAGAGAAAGUGAACACAAUAAUUUAUGUGAUUCGGAAUAUUUCCUACAUCCACGGAUAGAACCAAAAAUAAAAUUCACUACUAAAAAAUGGAGAUUACAAAGGAAUUACAUAAUAAAAUAAAAUAACUCACCACAAUAACUAUCCACAAACUUUGAGCAAUCUUCUAAAUAAGCAUCAACUAUACACUUUCCACAAAUUGAAAAAUACUGGCAAUAAUAAAUAACAAGUGACCAACAAUCUCAAAAUGUCAAAAACAAUACUUUAUUUCAAACAUCCUAACCUCUUAUCAAUCAUCAAUGGAGGCCUAAGAUAAGUUGAUUUGUGUAGAUAGAAAUAGAUGAUGCUAAAAGCAUUACAAAAAAAAAAACUUACCACUCCAUUCCUUUUGUCAACAUCUGUUGACCAACGACGUUGUGCUGUUGUUGUGCCCAUAAGCAGGUAUUGCCCUCUUUGGAUGCCCACCAUUCAAGGGUUUAACACCCAAAGAUACGUACACCUCCCCAGUGGUACCAUUUGGCCUUUUAUCUGCCACCAAUUUCAUGGUUCCCAAAGUUGAAAGAAAGUACAAGGCUAAAUAAAUAGCAUAUUUGGCUCCUCAACUACAACUUUGUACCAAGCACCAAAAUAUGAUCCAACACCGGAAAGGAAUGUCAGAAGAACAAAUUCUCCAUAUAACCUAUACUUGCCCUAUCAAAAACAUUAAUAACAUCACAGUUGAAGCCCUUCAAAGCAGGGGAAAUUCAUAUAAAGAUUGGUAGAAAAUAUGCCAAUCUACUGGACCGAAAAGCUGAAAAACAACAUUAAAAGAGAGUGGAUAUAUAUCAUUUGAUUCAUUUAACUCAUACCUCAAAGUCAAAAGCAAGAGAGUCGAUAUAUAGUGAGUCACUUAGUCACUGCUAUUUUUGGGAACACUCAGGCUGGAAGUGAAAACCCCAAAUUGCAGCUCAGUGAACUCUGUUGUGUUUAUGUUAAAUUGAGCUCUCUAAUGCCAUGUUGUAACGUGUACUGUAUCCCUCCAUUCAUCCUGAAAGGAUCAAUACCAUGUCUACAGUGAUGACGAAAUCUGUUGGCACUGAUAUCCUUAUGCAAUAACAGAAAUCUAUCCACAAAGAUCAACAAACUAUCACGUAAAAGACUUGUUCUUCUGAAACACCAUUGGUUAAUAGUACAAUGAAAUCUCAAAUAUUUUUAACUAAAAUCCCAUUCCCAUAUACCAAUUUCAUAGCAACUGCUUAGAAAUUAGAAGAUGCAGAUGAAAACAGAACAUUCAAUUUGCAGAAUAAAUGUUGCAGAGAUUUGACUAACCGCUUUACUAAAUCAAAUAAGCUGAAGCAGACCAGUUGAAGGUCUCCUCUAUGUUUCGCCAGUUUAGCCUUCAAUGCCUGCAAAAAGUAAAUACAAAAUAUAUAACACCGAUUUCUAUUAUCGUGUUGUUGAUGAGGACAGUCAGAUAUAUAUAAAGAAAAGGUAAUGAAAUUGAUAAAUGUUUAAAAUGCGUUUCGCACCUAUGGUUUGAGUGUGGAGAAAUCGAUGCUAGAUUUUGCUGCUUAAAUUUCAAUAUAAUUCCCUCGGGUUGACUAUUUCACCAUCAAUUCGAACAUAAGGUAUGUGGGCAAUCUUGGACCACUCUCGUCCUUUACCCCUACUGCACCCUUUUUCUAGCAACGGGCAAUCAUAAAUAGAUAGAGGCUCAAGCGAGAGAAGCAUAUCUUUUUCCGAAAGAGAUGUGAGCUUAGGACAAUCAUCGAUUCGCAAUUUUUGAAGAGAGGUCAGGUAUUGAAAGCCCUUGGAGCACAUGAAUUCCAAAUUCUCAAAAUUUUUAAUGGAAAUAGAUGUGAGAGAAGGAGGCAGCGUCAUUCCUAUCCCUUCUUCUGGAAACGACACCACAUUUGAGCAUCCUUCACCGCUGAUGUUGAGUUGCUGAAGAGAGGUGAGUCUGUUAAAUCCCCAUUGAACAAGUGAUGUAUAAAUUUUGGGUGCGUUUGAGAUUGCAAGUGAUGUGAGGUUGGCAGGGAAACCCUCUUCUGGAAAGGAUAUGUCAGCCGAACAAUAAGACACCUUUAAUUCUCGAAGGGAGGUGAAGUUGUUGAUGCACUUGGGAAGGACUCCAAAAUUUUCACAAUUCUUAAUUGCGAAAACUCUGAGAUUUGUGGUGGGCAACCCACUUUCUUCAAAUGAAACCAGAUUUGGACACAAUUUUAAUCGAAUCUCUUGAAGAUGGCUGAGCUUGUCUAAUCCCCGCGGUAAUGAUUUAAAUUUUCCAGCACCCGAAAUACGAAUGCUUUCGAGAUCAGUGGUUUCAAGGAAGUCUUGGGAUAUGCAUUCCAACACUGGACAAUCCCGAAUAAAUAGCUUUUUAAGCAUUACGGGUAACUUGGCGUUUAAAAAUAACCUACUUAGCUUUGAACACUCCAUAAUUUGGAGAUGUUGAAGCCGAUUGCAUAUAUCGCCCCUUGAUGAUAACCAUAUUAGAGAUGGACAGUAGGUUAUUUGCAAGCGCUCAAGAAGACAAGUGUUGCUACUCAUACUCAUACUCUUAUUAUUAUUUUCUUUUUCAUCAACCAAAUAUUGCAAAUUCUCGCAAUUCCCAAUCCACAGCUCUUUUAAAGCAGGAGGAAAGUUACUCUCUGCAAAAGAAACCAAGCGUGGACAGCUUUCAAGUUGCAUGGUUGUAAUGAAUGGGAAAGCAUGUAAGGCUUCUGGUAGUCUAUUGAGCCUUUCACAAUUAUUUAUUACCAGAGAUUCAACACCCGGAAUCUUAUCAAGUUGCAAUCUCUCCUCUCUGUUUCCAAAGAGACCAAUUGCGGACAAUUCUCAAUCGUGAUGAAACGAUGCCCGCCUAAUCUUAACCCAAUUUCCGAUAAAGAUCCCAACUCUUUCCAACCAGGGAUGUAGAAUGUUUCGGAGUUUGCAAAUCUCAACAUUAUCCUCUCUGCUGAAAUAUUAACAUUUGAAAUAUUUGACAAACACAUCUUUCAAGGAGGUAACCUUCUGUACAGACAAAGAACCUUCAUCCACCAAUUCUUCACACCCUCCAACCGAUAAUUCACACAGCAAGGGAAAACUUGAAAUUGAAACUACCAGUCUCUUACACUCGUAGAUUUCAAUUGUCUGCAAGGAUUGAAGGAUGGUUGGCAACCUUCCCAGCAAUAGAGGACAUUCUCUGACUGAAAGAAAACGAAGGCUGGGGAAUUUCGAUACUUGCUCAUCAUCUUCACAUAGGUCCCACUCCUCCCAAUUCAGCAUAUUGUCAAAACGCAGAGACUCUAAUGAUGCAAAAGCAUUUGAUUGAUUUUCUCCAAACAGCUCAGCACCAAUCUUNNNNNNNNNNNNNNNNNNNNNNNNNNNNNNNNNNNNNNNNNNNNNNNNNNNNNNNNNNNNNNNNNNNNNNNNNNNNNNNNNNNNNNNNNNNNNNNNNNNNUCCAAACGACUAAUUGAAAGAUCUUUUAACAACAACAACCUUCCAAUCGAUGGUAGAGAUUUGCAGUUUUUACAGUCGUGAAGCUUCAAUGACAACAUAUUUUUGAAGGAAGGAUCUGCAAUCCAAGUAGAGAAUUUUGUACCACCAUAAUUCUCAAUGACGAGUUGCUCAAGCUUUUUUGGAGGACAAAGAGAGUCCAACACCCGUUCUUCAACUUCUUUAUUCCUUGAAGCAUUUUCAAACUUUUUCCUCCAAUGCAAUACCAGUCGAUCAAUCCCCUGCUUCUCAUAUAACUUGCUUUCCCCUGCAUCUUCACCAUUAACAUUCUCCAACCCAGAAAGACGGAAAUCACCUUCGAGGUUUGACAAAUAUUUCAAAUAUCUAAUAUGACAACCAUCACCUUCCGCUAUGAUAAAAUCAGAUAACCUUUGAAGAUUCUUUAGCUUAUCAAUUCUAAAAGGAAUCCUUUCUAUUGAGUUCGCACCUCUGAUAUCAAGAUAAUGCAAGUUGACAAGAUUUCCCAUCUUUGAAGGUAACCUUUGAAGCUUGUAACACCACCUUAAUAAUAAGGUUUCUAAAUGGUAAAGAGUGCACAAAGAAUCUGGUAGGCAUUCGAUUUCUGUGCCCGAAAAAUUUAAGUAACGAAGAUGUUUUAAAUUUUCAAAAACAUCAGGCAACUCAGUGAUGGCAUACCCACUCAAAGAAAGCACCCUUAAGUAGCCAAGUCUUGGCAAUAAAUCAACCAAAACAACAUUAGUUAAAUAAUGCCGCCAAUAAUCACUAGAAAACGUUAAGGGUAAAAAAGUACGUAAAGAAUUCACUUGAUCAAAUGCUUCAAACUUCUUCACUGUGUCAUAUGUUCCAACAAUAUAAGAAGAAUGUCGAGUGCAAUGUGAGAACUUCCAUUUCUUAUCACCCUCUAAUUUUGAGCAUAUUUCCCCUGCAACUACUUGAGCUAAAUCAUUGAUAAGGUCAUGCAUUACGAAUCGGGACUUAUCUUUACUGGAUGUCUCAAAAAAUGACCUGGACACUAGAUCUUGAAAAUAUUGAUUUCCGAGAUCUUUAAUUUGAGGCAUAGCUUUUUGUUGCAAGAGACCUUCUGCUCUCCAUAACAAGAUAAUUUCUUCUUCCUCAAAUUCAUAAUCUUUAGGAAGUAUGGAGCAAUAUGCAAAACAUCGUUUCAAGUCUGACGGAAGAUGAUGGUAGCUUAAUCGCAAAGCUGGAAUUAUGCCACACUGCUCUUCUGGUAAGUUCCAUAUCUCACUCUCAUAUAUUCUUUCCCAUCCUGCAUAGUCUUUAACUGUGCGUAGCAAGCUUCCAAUGGCUUUUGCAGCCAAAGGUAAGCCAUUGCACCUUCUAACAAUUUUCUCUCCAAUUUCUUUAAACUGGAGAUGUCCAUCGAAAUUUCUUGCUUUUAAUGCAUGCUGUGUAAAUAUGGAUAAACAAUCAUCAUCCGAUAGUUUAUCCAAAUGAAAAGCUUUGAGCGGAUCCACAAUAGAUGAAACAAUUCGAAGACGAGUGGUUACAAUGAUAUGGGUCCCUGUUCCAAACGGAGACCGUAAGAUGGUCCAAUCAUCAUAAUUCUCGUUCCAAAUGUCAUCUAAAACAAGCAAGAAUCUUUUCCCAGACAACUUCUCCUUCAACUUAACUUGAAGUAAAUUCAAGUCAUUCUCGUCACGAGAGUCAGGAUCGAUGGAUUUUAAAAUUGUCCUGGUUAUAUUAACUGCGUCAAAAUGAUCAGAAACGCAUACCCAGGCCUUGUGGUGAAAAGACUGGUUGAUGGUGGCAUCAUUGUAAACAAGCUGAGCAAGAGUUGUUUUACCCAUCCCUCCCAUGCCGACGAUGGAAAGGACUGAAACUCCGUUGGAGUUAUCACCUUCGAGAAACUCAAUCAUUUCUGUCUUCUCCUUGUGUCUGCCAACAUACUCCACAACUCCAUCCAGUACGGAAGUUGGUUGCAGCCUAGGUUGCUUUCCCUUGGAGGUUGGAGCUUGAGACAAGAUCUCACUCAACCCCAAACUACUUCUUCGAGUAGUCAAACUAUUCAGUCUAGCAGUGAUCUCUUUCACCUUCGGAAUCAUGGAAUUCUUAAACAGGAAAGAAGUGGGACUGAAAUUACUACUGGUACAGCAGGUAGGAAUGAGUUUCCGUACCUUGCUAGUGCUGGCUAGAGCUUGCGAUUUGUUGAGCUUGAGACGUAACUCUUCAUAAGCGAACUCAUCCAAGAUGUCAUCCACAUCGUAAGCCAAGUCCUGGAGAUCCUCCAACCAUUUCUUCACACCCAUAUUCUUGAUCUGCUUCUCCUCUGCAUCGUCCAACACUGCUUGGAUAUCAGGCAAUAUGGACUGCCACUGCUUGAGCUGCUGGUGGAGUUGGUUGUGAUUAGCAACAAAUUUGAGUGCAGAGUCGAGCGAUUUGCCCAACAACAGGUCCAGGAACCCAGAAAGAGCAGCCUCUCCAAUGACAGACAUGGUGGAAUUAUGAGAAAGAAGAUGAAGAGAGAAAUGAACAAAGCCAAAAUGGAAAGUCAGGGAACAAAAAAAAGAAAGAAAGGGAAAUGGAAUCUGCAAAAUUAGAGAAAGUUGAAGAAGUUGGCACUAUUUUUUAAGCAUCCAAUAAUUCAGACUACGAGUUGGGAAGGCAGUGGAUUGUGAAAAAGAGGGACCCCAAGUGGUUGUUGAUCGGGAAAAGACAACGAAAGUGGAAAUUUUUCAUCUAUUUUAAUCAUUAAAUUUAUAUAUUUUUUAAAUCACUUUAAAAUAUAUAGAAAACUUUUAUACAAGAUCAGUUAAAAACAUUAAUUUUUUAUUUAUUUUGAGGUGAUAUAAUAAAAAAAUACAAAUUUAACAGAUAAGUAUUUUUCAUAAAGUUAGAUAGCUAAAUCUUUAUGUAUUUUUUUUACGAGACCAAAGUGAAUUAAAGGGUUUGUAACUCUAAAAUAGAUGUACGUUCUUAUAGCUUCAUGCACUAUUAGUUAGAAUGCAUCCAACACAAAUCUUAAGAUUGAAUUAAAUUCUGGAAAAAAUACUAAUACAAAUAAAAAUAUUAAAAUUUAGAAUAAAAAUAUUGAUGUGACAUUAAAUUAUUAAAAACGGAUACAAAUGUCAUUGUAUCUCAAUUUUAUACUAUCAUUCCUCCAAAAUAAUUAUAUUUUUACAUCAUGUUUUUAUAAUAUAUGAUGUGAUCAUAAAUUAAACUCUUAAUUAUAGUGAUUAAUGUUCCAUUUUUGCAACUAAAAUCAAUAAAAAAUGAAAUUAAUAAAUUGUAUUUUUUAUUGGAAAACAUCUUUAUAUUAAUUAAUUAUGAGAAAACCUUUUUUAUGGAGAAGUGUGUUUAUACUAAUUAUAUUAUAGAAAAGUAUGUUUGAUAAUAGGCCCAAUUGAUAUAUUUAUUGGGCUUAAUUUUAAUAAGUUCUUUAAUAAGAUGUGAUUAAUUUUAGAUUUAUUAUUUGAUUUUUGAUUCGGUAUAAAAAUAAACUCAAAAAGUGAAAAAGAGUCGGAAAUACGAGUUAUCGUAAAAGUUUUGGAUUGAAGAACUAGAUGGACCAUGAUCUAUCUUUUGAAAACUUUAUUUUGGGAAUUUAUUAGUAAGAAAUAACAGUACUUUUAUUUUUUUAUUAGGAUAAUGUUUUAAUAUUUUAGUAUUAUUUAGAUAACCCUAGAUUAAAGAGUUUAAGUAGGAUGAGGCAUUUUGAGUUUUAAUAAUAUUUUUUAUGUAUAUUAUACUUUUUUGUUUUGGGCAGAAAUCGAUUGCAAAUGGAAUUUCUUUUCUUCUAUAUUUCUAAUUAUGUUCUUUCUUUUUCUAUUGUAAAAUAUUUCGCCGCCACGCCACCUUCCCAUUUUUUCCCUUAUUUGUUUGUUUCUUUUAUUUAAUUCUUGUUGAAUUAUUAGAUGUAUGUAAAUUUCAGGUAAAACCGAAUUAAUUUGGUUAACGGACUGAAUUCAAUUAAUCAAACGGUUAAUCGAAUUAAUUCAGUCAGAAAUUAAUUAAUAAUUUUUUGAAAGUUUAGUUAACGGUUAAUUAGAUAAUUAUUGAAGUGAACAAAGACAAAAUGGAAACCCAGGGACUAUAAUAGAAAGAAAGAGAGAUGGAUUCUGUGUAAUUAGUGAAAGUUGAAGAAGUUGGCACAAAGGUUUUUUUUAGCAUCCAAUAAUUCAGGCUAUCACUUGGAAGACAUUGGAUUAUGAUAAAGAAGAUGGACCCCAAGUGGCUGUUGAUGGGAAAAGACAAUGAAAGUGGAAAUUAAAGAGGUCCCAGUCCAUUAAAUUAUUGCACCCUCCCAUUUUUUCUGUCCCCGCAGUUAAUUUGUAUAGCUUUUCUUUUAGGCAUAAUGAUCACUCCUAAUUUGCAUAAAAAAUAAUUUUAACUCUUAAAUUUAUUUUACUACCAAACCACUCUAAAAUAGACCCACAUACAUGUGAAUUAUCAUCUAGAAGAUACAUCAACAUCUAAUUGAUUUUGAAUUUUUUUUUAAAAUUUAUUUUUUAACAAUAAAUUUUAAUUUUAAAAAAAAGUUUUUGUAGUUUUUUUAUUUUUAAAAUUUUUAAAAAAAUAAUUAAGUGAACGUUAGUAAAGUUAAAAAAGUUACAAAUUUAAGGGCUAAAAAAUAAAAAUUUAAAUAGAGAACUAAAAUAAUUUUUUUUAGUUGAAAAGUUAAAUAAACUAUUAUGUCUUUCUUUUAUUGGACCAAAAUGAAUUAAAGUGUCUGUAAUUCUGAAAUGGAUGGACUUAGUAUUUGGAUACAUUAUUAUUUUUACUGGAGAUCAGGAAUAGAUGGAUUUUUCAUGGGCCCAUUUAACUGAUAGGUUUUAUUACCACUUUAGCAACUUUGGUGAUUUAGUCAGUUACUCGAGAUUCGUAAUUAUUUUAUUUAUUGAUGCUAGCAAUGUACAGUGGUCAAAUAGGAUCAUUUCUUCUUAAAACCUUUUAUUUUUUUCAUCAUGUGGGAGUUUGAAUUAAUUCUCAUUUAUCUACUUCUAUCCAUGAUGGGGAAGAAACGUCUAUACUCGGCUACAAAAUUUAUUUUGUACACUGCAGGCGGUUCGGUUUUUCUAUUAAUAGGAGUUUUGCAUCCCAGUUUAUACGGUUCUAAUGAACCAACAUUAAAUUUUGAAAUAUUAAAUAAUCAAUCAUAUCCUAUAUUGAAUUUCUUAUUACUUUUGCUCUCAAAUCGUUGAUUAUAUACUCUUACAUACAUGGUACUAUAUAAAAAAAUUCAAUAAAUAAAAAAUGAAUAAAAUUAUUAAAUAUUAAAAUAAUAUAAUAUAAAUAUUUAAAAAAAUUAAAAAUAAUAUGGACAUGGCUAAAAUAGGUUUGGAUUAAUAUUUUGUAAAUAUAGGCAGGCUUGAGCAACAUUUUAGGAUCAAAUUUCGGGCUGGGUCGGGCUUAGAUAAACAUAAAGUAUAUUAAUAUCAUAUUUAGACCCAACCAGCCCAUGAAUAUAUCUAGUAACAGGGACCUUUGUUUUUGAAUUUUGUCAUAGCUUUUGUCCAUUGUCCCUAUUUCCAAGUAAAAUGAACGUUGAGCUCCAUGUCAAUGGCAUCAAAAUAAUUAUUUCCAUUAACAUCAAAAAUUUCCAUGUCAUGCCUAUCUAUAUCGUGUUGUGCAUGUAUUGUGUGUGAGCUUUUUUUUCGCCCUGUUUUUGAAGAAUCAUGUUGGUGCUUCCUAGUAUUUUAAGUAAUGGGUGGAGACAGAAAAAUUGAAGUGGAGUAGUAACUUGGAAGAAGCCAUGUUAGUUGGACCAGUUUUUUUUCUUUAAUGGCUUGGAUUAUAUGGAAUUCAUUUUACAAAGAGUUGAGCUUUUAUUAAUGGGAAGCAACCAUGGUGGUUGGUUCCGCACCAUGGUUUCAGUUGUACCUGCCAGUGCCACUGUUCCAGUGAUACAGCACAACAACAAGGAAUACAUUUUUCCACAUCGGUGAAAAUUUCAGUCUGUUCUGUUUACAUUGGCUCAUUUCGAUCAAUUCAAGUUGCACCGACCGAAACAUGAUGCAUUGGCUGUUACAUGAAUAAUUUAAAAAAUGUAAGUUUUUAAUACCUAGCAAUAAUAAUUAACUAGAGACCAACAUUUGUUUUUACAAUCUCGAAAUGUCAAAAACAAUACUCUAUACAAAACAUCAUCAAUGGAGGACUAAGACAGGUUCAUGAUUUGUGUAGAUAGAAAUAGAUUACACUAAAAGCAUUAGAAAAAGAACUUAUCACUCCAUUCCUUUUGUCAACAUCUGUCGACCAAAGAAGUGCUGUUGUUGUGCCCAUAAGCAGGUAUUCUCCUCUUUGGAUACCCACCAUUCAAGGUUUUUCACCCAAAGGUACGUACACCUCCCCAGUGGUACCAUUUGGCCUUUUUUAUCUGCCACCAAUUUCAUGGUUCCCAAAGCUGAAUGAAAGUACAAGGCUAAAUAAAUAACAUAUUUGACUCCUCAACCACAACUAUGUACCAAGCACCAAAAUAUGCUCCAACAUAGGAAUUGAAUCGACUUACUCCCUAUACUGCCAUUUUUUUUUAUCCUUUCACAAAAUAAAUAGUGAAAUGUCAAAUAUUUGAGGUAAUGGGUGGAGAUAUAGAAAAAUUGAAAUGGAGACUUAACUUGGAAGAGGCCAUGUUGGCUGGACCUGUUUUUUUUUUUUCAAUCAUAUUUUAACAUUUUACAAAUAUUUCUUUAAUGGCUUGGAUUAUAUGAAAUUUGUUUUUACAAAGAGUUGAGUUUUUUUAAUGAGAAGCAACCAUGGUGAUCUGUUCCGCACCAUGGUUUCAGUCGUACCGAUUGGUGACACCAUUUUAGUGCUAUAGCGCAUCCAGCAACACCCUCUUUCAUAUCGGUGAAAAAUUCAGUCCAUACCGUUCGCACUGGUUCGUUUCAGUCAAUUUCAAUCACACCGGCUGGAACAUGGUACACCAGCUGCUAUAUGAAUAAUAUUAAAAAAAUAUAAAACUUUUAACUAUUUUCUAUUAGACUAAUAACUUAAUUCGAAUGUAUUGACCAAUAAAAAAAAUAUUACACUAAAAAGUAAAGUUUAAUAUUUAAAUUUUGUUCUGGAAUAUAUUUUUACAUUAAAAAUGCAAAAAUUAAAAUAUAAUAAAAAAUCCACUCACUUCAUUAUCAUAGAAAAAUCUUAGCUCAUCCUUCAACUUCUUUUAUUGAAAAAAUCCCUUCUUUUUUCUUGUUAUUUUUUAAUUUAUUGAAUGAUGAGUUUUUUAUUUGUAGAGUUUAUUAAUCAAUAUUUUAUAUAAUUGAUGAAUAUUUUACAUUGGAAAUGUAUUCAGAAUCAUUUAUUUGGUAUUUGUAUAUUUAUUUAUAUAGAUAUAAAAUAUCGAUAAAUUCAAAACCAUAUAUCAAAAUAGACUAAUACCAGUAUGUACCAAUUCCAGUAGAAAAGUGGUACAUUUACCGGUUUGGUGUUGACUACCUUGAAAGCAAUUAUGUGGCAGAGUUGUUUGAAAGGAAAUGAGUAAAAGCGUGUUGAGAUAUUAUUUUAGGUGGCUGAAAUGUUUGAUACUUUGUUUUCUUUUGAGUAUUUUGGUUUGAUGCUUUUGAUUUGUGUUGAUAUUUGAGUGUAAUCAUUGAGAUAUAUAUGAUUAUCUCUUUUUUUUUUUAUGAUUUGUUUUGUAUUUACUGUAGUUAUUUUAUUAAUAAAAUUAUGUUUCGAGUUGAGAAAAAAAACUAAGAAAUUCAAAACACAAAAAUAAAAGUAGAGAAAGUGAACACAAUAAUUUACGUGGUUCGGAAUAUUUCCUACAUCCACAGGUAAAACCAAAAAUAAAAUUCACUAUUAAAAAAUAGAGAUUACAAUGGAAUUACAUAAUAAAAUAAAAUAACUCACCACAAUAACUAUCCACAAACUUUGAGCAAUCUUCUAAAUAAGCAUCAACUAUACACUUUUCACAAAUUGAAAAAUACCUGGCAAUAAUAAAUAACAAGUGGCCAACAAUCACAAAAUGUCAAAAACAAUACUUUAUUUAAAACAUCCUAACCUCUUAUCAAUCAUCAAUGGAGACCUAAGAUAGGUUGAUGAUUUGCGUAGAUAGAAAUAGAUGAUGCUAAAAGCAUUACAAAAAAAAAACUUACCACUCCAUUCCUUUUGUCAACAUCUGUCGACCAACGACGUUGUGCUGUUGUUGUGCCCAUAAGCAGGUAUUGCCCUCUUUGGAUGCCCUCCAUUCAAGGGUUUAUCACCCAAAGAUACGUACACCUCCCCAGUGGUACCAUUUGGCCUUUUAUCUGCCACCAUAUUUGGCUCCUCAACUACAACUUUGUACCAAGCACCAAAAUAUGAUCCAACACAGGAAAGGAAUGUCAGAAGAACAAAUUCUCCAUAUAACCUAUACUUGUCCUAUCAUAAACAUUGAUAACAUCACAGUUGAAGCCUUUCAAAGCAGGGAAAUUCAUAUAAAGAUUGGUAGAAAAUAUGCCAAUCUACCGGACCGGAAAGCUGAAAAGCAACAUUAAAAGAGAGCUGCAAUGAAACUAGUUCCAAACUGCUGCAGUAUAUAUAUCAUUUGGUUCAUUUAACUCAUACCUCAAAGCCAAAAGCAAGAGUCGAUAUAUAGUGAGUCACUUAGUCACUGCUAUUUUUGGGAACACUCAGGCUGGAAGUGAAAACCCCAUAUUGCAGCUCAGUGAACUCUGUUGUGUUUAUGUUAAAUUGAGCUCUCUAAUGCCAUGUUGUAACGUGUACUGUAUCCCUCCAUUCAUCCUGCAAGGAUCAAUACCAUGUCUACAGUGAUGACGAAAUCUGUUGGCACUGAUAUCCUUAUGCAAUAACAGAAAUCUAUUCACAAAGAUCAACAAACUAUCACGUAGAAGACUUGUUCUUCUGAAACACCAUUGGUUAAUAGUACAAUGAAAUCUCAAAUACUCUUAAAUAAAAUCCCAUUCCCAUAUACCAAUUUCAUAGCAACUGCUUAGAAAUUAGAAGAUGCAGAUGAAAACAGAACAUUCAAUUUGCUGAAUAAAUGUUGCAGAGAAUUGACUAACCGCUUUAUUAAAUCAAAUAAGCUGAAGCAGACCAGUUGAAGGUCUCCUCUAUUUUUUGCCAGUUUAGUCUUCAAUGCCUGCAAAAAGUAAAUACAAAAUAUAUAACACUGAUUUUCAUUAUCGUGUUGUUCAUGAGGACAAUCAGAUAUAUAUAAAGAAAAGGUAUGAAAUUGAUAAAUGUUUAAAAUGCGUUUCACACCUGUGGUUUGACUGUAGAGAAAUCGAUGUUAGAUUUUGCUGCUUAAAUUUCAAUUUAAUUCCCUCGGGAUGACUGUUUUAAAAUCAAUUUGAACAUAAGGUAUGUGGGCAAUCUUGGACCACUCUCGUCCUUUUCCCCUACUGCACCCUUCUUCUACCAACGGGCAAUUGGAAAUAUAUAGCCACUCUAGCGAGAGAAGCAUAUCUUUUUCCGGAAGAGAUGUGAGCUUAGGACAAUCACAGAUUCGCAAUUCUUGAAGAGAGGUCAGGUAUUGAAAGCCCUUGGAGCACAUGAAUUCCAAAUUCUCAAAAUUUUCAAUGGAAAUAGAUGUGAGAGAAGGAGGCAGCCUCAUUCCUAUCCCUUCUUCUGGAAACGACACCACAUUUGAGCGUCCUUCACCGCUGAUUUUGAGUUUUUGAAGAAAUGUGAGUCUGUUAAAUCCCCAUUCAACAAGUGAUGUAUAAAUUUUGGGUGCGUUUGAGAUUGCAAGUGAUGUGAGGUUGGUAGGGAAACCCUCUUCUGGAAAGGAUAUGUCAGCCGAACACUCCCACACCUUUAAUUCUCGAAGGGAGGUGAAGUUGUUGAUGCACUUGGGAAGGGCACUAAAAUUUUCACAAUCCUCAAUUGAGAGAACUCUGAGAUUUGUGGUGGGCAACCCACUUUCUUCAAAUGAAACCAUAUUCGGACACCCAGAUAAUUGAAUCUCCUGAAGAUGGUUGAGCUUGUCUAAUCCCCGCGGUAAUGCUUUAAUUUUUUCAGCACCACGAAUGCCAAUGCUUUCGAGAUCAAUGGUUUCAAGGAAGUCUUGGGCUAUGCAUUCCAACACUGGACAAUCCCGAAUAAAUAGCUGUUUAAGCAUUACGGGUAACUUGGCGUUUAAAAAUAACCUACUUAGCUUUGGACAAUGGAAAAUAUUGAGACGUUGAAGCCGAUUGCAUAUAUAGCCCCUUGAUGAAAACCAUAUUAGAGAUGGACAGUAGCUUAUUUCCAAGCGCUCAAGAAGACAAGUGUUGCUCCUCAUACUCUUAUUAUUAUUUUCUUUUUCAUCAACCAAAUAUUGCAAAUUCACGCAAGUCCAAAUCCUCAGCUCUUUUAAAGCAGGAGGAAAGUUACUCUCUGCAAAACAAACCAAGCCUGGACAGUUUUGAAGUUGUAUUCUUGUAAUCAAUGGGAAGGCAUGUAAGGCUUCUGGUAGUCUGAGCCUUUCACAAUUAUAUAUUAGAAGAGAUUCAACACCUGGAAUCUUGUCAAGUUGCAAUCUCUCCUCUGUUUCCAAAGAGACCAAUUCGGGACAACCCGCAAUCGUAAUAAAACGAUGCCCGACUAAUCUGAACCCAAUUUGCGAUAAAGAUCCCAACUCCUUCCAACCAGAGAUGUAGAAUGUUUCGGAGUUUGCAAAUCUCAACAUUAUCCUCUCUGCUGAAAUAUUAAAAUUUGAAAUAUUUGAAACAGACACACCUUUCAAGGAGGUAACCUUCUGUACAGACAAAGAACCUUCAUCCACCAAUUCUUCACACCCUUCAACCCUUAAUUCACACAGCAAGGGAAAACUUGAAAUUGUAACUACCAGUCUCUUACACUCAUAGAUUUCAAGUGUCUGCAAGGAUUGAAGGAUGGUUGGCAACCUUCCCAGCAAUAGAGGACAUUUUCCGAUUUUAAGAAAACGAAGACUGGGGAAUUUCGAUACUUGCUCAUCAUCUUCACAUAGGUCCCACUCCUCCCAAUUCAGCAUAUUGUCAAAACACAAAGACUCUAAUGAUGCAAAAGCAUUUGAUUGAUUUUCUCCAAACAACUCAGCACCAAUCUUGUGUAUUUGAUCCAAACCACUAAUUGAAAGAUCUUUUAACAACAACAACCUUCCAAUCGAUGGUAGAGAUUUGCAAUUUUUACAAUUGCGAAGCUCCAAUGACAACAUAUUUUCGAAGGAAGAAUCUGCAAUCCAAGUAGAGAAUUUUGCACCACCAUAAUUCUGAAUGACGAGUUUCUUAAGCUUUUUUGGAGGACGAAGAGAGUCCAACACCCAUUCUUCAACUUCUUUAUUCCUUGAAGCCUUUUCAAACUUUUCACUCCAAUGAAAUACCAAUCGAUGAAUCCCCUGCUUCUCAUUUAACUUGGCUUCCCCUGCAUCUUCACCAUUAACAUUCUCCAACCCAGAAAGACGGAAAUGACCUCUGAGGUUUGACAAAUAUUUCAAACCUCUAAUAUAACUACCAUCACCUUCCCCUAUUAUAAAAUCAGUUAACCUUUGAAGUUUCGUUAGCUUAUCAUUUCUAAAAGGAAUCCUUUCUAUUAAGUAGGCACCUCUGAUUCCAAGAUAAUGCAAGUUGACAAGAUUUUCCAUCUUUGAAGGUAACCUUUGAAGCUUCGAACACCGUCUCAAUAAUAAAGUUUCCAAAUGGUAAAGAGCGCACAAAGAAUCAGGUAAGCAUUUGAUGUCAGUGUCAGAAAAAUUUAAGUAGCGAAGCUGUUUUAAAUUUUCAAAAACAUCAGGCAACUCAGUGAUUUUAUACCCACUCAAAGAAAGCAUCCUUAAGUAGCCAAGUCUUGGUAACAAAUCAACCAAAACAACAUUAGUUAAAUAAUGCCGCCAAUAAUCACUAGAAAACGUUAAGGGUAAAAAAGUACGUAAAGAAUUCACUUGAUCAAAUGCUUCAAACUUCUUCACUGUGUCAUAUCUUCCAGCAAUAUAAGAAGAAUGUCGAGUGCGAUUUGAGAACUUCCAUUUCUUAUCACCCUCUAAUUUUGAGCAUAUUUCCCCUGCAACUACUUGAGCUAAAUCAUUGAUAAGGUCAUGCAUUACGAAUCGGGACUUAUCUUUACUGGAUGCCUGAAAAAAUGACCUCGACACUAGAUCUUGAAAAUAUUGAUUUCCGAGAUCUUUAAUUUGAGGCAUAGCUUUUUGUUGCAAGAGACCUUCUGCUCUCCAUAACAAGAUAAUUUCUUCUUCCCCAAAUUCAUAAUCUUUAGGAAGUAUGGAGCAAUAUGCAAAACACCGUUUCAAGUAUGACGGAAGAUGAUGGUAGCUUAACCGCAAAGCUGGAAUUAUGCCACACUGCUCUUCUGGUAAGUUCCAUAUCUCACUCUCAUAUAUUCUUUCCCAUUUUCCAUGAUAUUUAACCGUGCGAAGCAAGCUUCCAAUGGCUUUUGCAGCCAAAGGUAAGCCAUUGCACCUUCUAACAAUUUUCUCUCCAAUUUCUUUAAACUGGAGAUGUCCAUUAAAAUUUCUGGCUUUUAAUGCAUGCUGUGUACAUAUGGAUAAACAAUCAUCAUCCGAUAAUUUAUCCAAAUGAAAAGCUUUGAGCGGAUCCACAAUAGAUGAAACAAUUUGAAGACGAGUGGUUACAAUGAUACUGGUCCCUGGUCCAAACGGAGACCGUAAGAUGGUCCAAUCAUUAUAACUCUCGUUCCAAAUGUCAUCUAAAACAAGCAAGAAUCUUUUCCCACACAACUUCUCCUUCAACUUAACUUGAAGUAAAUUCAAGUCAUCCUCGUCACGAGAGUCAGGAUCGAUGGAUUUUAAAAUUGUCCUGGUUAUAUUAACUGCGUCAAAAUGAUCAGAAACGCAUACCCAGGCCUUGUGGUGAAAAGACUGGUUGAUGGUGGCAUCAUUGUAAACAAGCUGAGCAAGAGUUGUUUUACCCAUCCCUCCCAUGCCGACGAUGGAAAGGACUGAAACUCCGUUGGAGUUAUCACCUUUGAGAAACUCAAUCAUUUCUGUCUUCUCCUUGUGUCUGCCAACAUAAUCCACAACUCCAUCCAGUACGGAAGUUGGUUGCAGCCUAGGUUGCUUUCCCUUGGAGGUUGGAGCUUGAGACAAGAUCUCACUCAACCCCAAACUACUUCUUCGAGUAGUCAAACUAUUCAGUCUAGCAGUGAUCUCUUUCACCUUUGGAAUCAUGGAAUUCUGAAACAGGAAAGAAGUGGGAGGGAAAAUACUACGAAUAAUCCUUUCAGGAAUGAAUUUCCGUAUCUUACUAGGUCUGGCUUGAGCUUGAGUGUCUUGGAGAUUGAGGCGUAACUUUUCAUAAGCGAACUCGUCCAAGAUGUCAUCCACAUCGUAUGCCAAGUCCUGGAGAUCCUCCAACCAUUUCUUCACAGCCAUGUUCUUGAUCUGCUUCCCCUCUGCAUCGUCCAACACUGCUUGGAUAUCAGGCAAUAUGGACUGCCACUGCUUGAGCUGCUGGUGGAGUUGGUAGUGAUCAGCAACAAAGUUGAGUGCAGAGUCAAGCGAUUUGCCCACCAACAGGUCCAGGAACCCAGAAAGAGCAGCCUCUCCAAUGACAGACAUGGUGGAAUUGUGAGAAAUAAGGUGACAAGAGAAAUGAGCAAAGCCAAAAUGGAAAGUCAGGGAACAAAAAAGAAAUGAGUUGGAAGUCUUUUGGUGUUAAUGGGGAAGGAAAAAUGGAAAUGAUGGGACCUUUGCUUUUGAAUUUUGAUGCUCUUCUUUUCUCUUGCUUUUGGUCAUUUUCCUAAAUUGACCUUCACCGUAUAUGUAAUUUAAUUAAACAUCAAAAUAUUAUAUUUCUCACAACUUUAUCGCCAAAAUAUAGCAAACACCAAUACUCAAAAUUUUUGAAUCCCAAAUAUUUACAGUAUUUAGCAUAUAGAAAACAAAAUUCCGAAAUUAAAUAAUAAUUUUUAUGAUUUUACCAUUUUAAUAGUUUAUAUCUUUAUAAAAUUUAAAAGAUUAAAUCAGAUUUUUAUCAUAUUUAGGGGAGUAAAGUGUAAUUUUAUAUUUACUAAUUUAAAAUUUUAAAAUAUUCAAAGAGCUUAAAUGAAAAAAUUUUUAUUUUAGAGGACCAUGCCAACCCCCUAGCUACACCCGAGAUUGAUUGUAGCUAUAUUGUUAAUUGAUUUACUAUUUUACUAUUUAUACUAUUAUUUAAGCUUAUGACUAGUUGAUGUCACGAGUUAAUAAAGUACCAACUUGGUUAAAGAAAAUAUGAAAAUGUCACUCUAGUCUUUUUAUUAAAAAUAAAAAUAAAAAUAUGUGCAUAUAAUGAGAUUUUGAACCCAUAUCAAUUACAUUAAUAGAAUUAUUAAUUUACCACUCAACUAAAACUUUAAUAUUUUUAUACAUUUUAAUUUUAUUGUGCACACUUUAUUGUUAAUUAAUUUCAAACAUUAUGCUUUAAUUAUUUAUUGUAUGUUAUAUUCAAACGCACACUUAUAUUCUAAAUAUAUGAUUCUCAAAUAUACAUGUGUGAUAAGUAUACUAAUUGUAACCUAUCUUACUAAUUGUUGUACUAAUUUAUGAUUUGCUUUCUUACUAGCUAGAUCUGUUAGCCAAACUCAAAUUACCUUCCUUUUAGAUCAAUUAAUUGACUUAAACCUAACUCAAUUACAUUUCUUUCUAGAGUGAUUAACCAAAAUAAUCGACCGAACCGAUUAAACGAGAUUGUUUCUAUUAUUAUAUUUAUGAAAUCGUGAUCGUUUAGUUAUUGGUAUUUUUUGUUGGGGUUAGCUUAAUUUAAUUUUCAAUUUUUCUAAACUAAAAUUUACAUCUAGAUUUGAUGAUGAUUGCUUGUCCACAGUCCAUGGGUUUCAAUUAUACCAACCUAUUCAAUCUUCUUUUUUCCCUAAUGCAUGUGAGGUCUCUUUUUCUUUUCCUUAGCAAAGUAUUUAGGGUCUCUCUUUUUUUUCAAAGUAAUCUUUAUCUUUAAUAAAAUAAUUUAAAAACCCUAAUCACUUUCCCAUAAUUGAUGGAACUUACAAGUAUAAUUAACAAAAAAAAAAAUACAAUUACAAAUACUUUAUGUCUGGCCAACUAGCUAGAAUCAACUUAGUAUAUAAUACAAAAAGAUUAAAAUCUAAUCAAAUACAAACAAAUAACAUUACGAGUGAAAUAUAGGAAAGAACUCACACAUGAUAUUUACAUAUUAUGAAACUCAAAUUUGGGCACUCGAGGCCCAACUUUGCCAACACCAACAAACCUCAUUGGCUCAUAAGUAAAUAUUUUAAUGUAUAGCUAAUUCAUUACUGAAUCAGUACUCUAGAAAUUAGUUAUUCUUGAGUUGAAAGAUUAGUAUGUAUGACAAAUUUAUAUAGUUUUAGAGAAGAAGAUGGAAGAUGGCCAAAUAGAAAGGACCAUUGCAAGGAUGAUAGUGAAGUUCCAGUUCCUACUCAAUUUCUGGUAUUAAAGAUGAUAGACAAUGUGGAAGGGAAACUAUUGAACAGGUCAUAUUGAAGAAAUAGCAGGGUGAUUAUAACCAAAGUGUAUUAAGGGUGGGACCUUGGCUUUUGAAUUUUGAUGAAAUCUCUCUGCCAUUUCUGAAAUUCCAAUUUUCCUUUAAGGAAAACGAUGACGACGAUGCCAAUCUAAUUCCCAUUCAAUUAAACCCUGAUCUCGAUCACAAUGCCAUCUAAUGCCCAUAUAUCAAUUUAUUAUUUCCAUUCACUUUAAAGCCUAUUGUAGUUUUGGUUCAAUUUAAUAUUGCCAUUAAACAUCAUGAUUAAUUGACACAAUUAAUAUAGCAACCACACACAUGUCCUACUUUCUUUUUGGGUUGAAAACAUCACUGUAAAUGCAAAAGGAGAGAAGGUGAAGCCUUUCAAAUUCUCCACAUGCCAAAUGGUGCUGACAUGUCAGAUGGGCUGAUGUGGCAUACUAUGUUAGAAAAAUUAUAAAAAUAUUUUAAAAUUAAUAAAACAUAUAAAUACAUCUAGAAUGAAUUUAUCCAAAUUCAAAUGAAUUUGGACAAAAGAAUAUAGCCUUUAUACCAAAGCAAUUAGUUUUAUAUUAGAGGUAUUAGAGUUUAGGUUCUAUUUUGUUAAUCUACUCAUACAUGUUAUCUAUUAUGUUAAUUUUGUCUCAAAUUCGAAAAUAAUUGGUGCUUAAAAUGAUUCAAACCCAAGAUGACAUAAAUUUGAGAUGACCUUAUUUGAAAAACUUGAAUGGCAAACUCAAAUGGUCAUAACCCAAAAUAGCUCAAACAUGAAACAACUUAAACCCAAAAUUGACCCGAACCAUAAUGACUCUCUAUUUAUAGCAUUAACAAAAAGGAAAAAUAGUAAAUAUGCAAGGGCAAAAGAGUAAAAACCGUAGGGUUGCCCCUUCCGCGCAACAGUAAAAUAUAUAUUUUGUUGCCAAAUUUUUUGCAACCGUCAAAAAUUGAAAAAUAUUUUAAAGAAAUUAUUUUCUGGAAAAUAAUAUUGAUUAAAAUUAGAGAUAAAUUAUGGAUGAAAAUAUUGAAUUAUUUCAAAUGAUGAAGAGCAACUUUAAUAAUGUAGAGGGACUGGAUUGGUGUACCGAGGAUGAUGCUUUGAAGGCUACUCUCAGAAGAGUCGAUCUGUAGCUCAAGUGGUACCAUACACCUCAACAAUUGACCUAUAUUCAAUAGAUUAAGGGUUUGAAUCUCAUCAAGGGUGAGACUCUCAUGUCGCCUCUUAGUGGUGAUCACAAGUCCACAUACGGUUAAGGCACCCCUUUUUGUGAGUAGUACAUGGCUCUCCACGGAGUGGGGGACAAAACCCUCUCACAGGGGACAAUACCUUCUGUUGUUGAGAGACUGGAUCGGCAUCCCCAAAGACGACACUUCAAAGACUUCUCUCGAAUAAGCCGUCCCCAUUAACAAAUAAAUAAUUACUCUACACAACCGUAUUCUAUCUUUUAAAAUUAUUAUUUUGUCCCUUAAGAUAUCCAUUAAUCUUUUUAUGUAUUUCUAAUAUACAUGCUAUAUAUAUAGUAAAAUGAAUAUAUAUAUAAUCUACACUAAAUAUGAGAAGAUUAUAAAUAUAAUAAUCUAUAAUUAUUAUUUAUUUAUGCCUUUUUCCAACUACGUCGCUCUGAUUUUUUUUUUUAAUUUCUUUUUCAUUUUUUGAUCAGUCCUAUUUUAUGCAAAUUCAGAUGUGUAUAUGAAGAUAUAAAUUCAUAUAUUAUUUAUCAGUCACAUUCAAAUUCAAUUAACAUAAACUUGAAGAUUCAUUUCUAACUCAUUAGUUAUUAUUUGUAAUUUCCUCUUCAUUUUCUUUCCCAUUUUCGAUUGUGUAACACGCAUGUAUCUGGAUGAAAAAACAGCUUAGUUGAAAUGACAAAGUUAAGACUUUGAAGAUAUGAGUAUCCUAAUAAUUUAUUUUGGAUUUAAACUAUCUUUUUUAUAGAUUUUAUAUAAACACAUAAAUAAAAAGACAAAAAGCAAACUCAUAAUAUUAUUUGUACCUUUUAAAUAGAAGCCACUUUUUUUAAGUUAUUUUUUAACUAAAUUGAUCUUUAGUUAAACUUGUGACUCCAACUCAAUUAGAUAAUUAAAUAUAGUAUAAAUAACAAAAAAUGGAAUUGAAAUUGACAUACACGUAUGUUGUGUGUAGCCUUAAAUACUCCUCUUUCAUGGUGUUCACCUCAAUUCAGGGGCGGAGCUUUAAAAAAAAUCAGAGGAGGUUGAAAUAAAGUUGUAUAUUUUUACGAUGCAAAAAUGAAAUUUCCCUAUUUUAAUAACUUAUAUCUUUAUAAUUUUUAAAGGAUUAUAUCAAUUUUUUCUCAUUCUUGAGGGGGUCAAAGUAUAAUUUUGCCACAUACUAAUUUAAAAAAUUUUAAAUUAUAAAUGAACUAAAGGUGAAAUUUUCCAAUUUAGGGGGGAUCGGGCCCCCUGCCAGCCCCCUUGGCUCCACCCCUGCCUCAAUUCCUUGCAACUUCUGCUUAUUUAACAAAAAAAAAAUUAGAAAUGUAAUUAUUAUUGUCGACUGAGUCUUAACUCAGUUGGUAUCAACAAUAUUAAAAAAAAUUUUGGAACAUGCUUUUUCAUUUAAGAUAUAAAUUAAAAUAUAAUAAAAAAAACUCACUCACCUCAUUAUCAUAGAAAAAUCUUCACUCGCCUUUCAACUUUUUUUUUAUUGAAAAAACCCCUCAUCCUUCGACUUCUUUUUUACUUCUUAAUUUUGAAUUUAUUGAAUGAUGAAUUUUUAUUUGUGAAGUUUAUUAAUCAAUAUUUUAUAUAAUUGAUAAAUAUUUUUAUAUUUAAAUUUUAUUUAUAUAUUAAAUAUUUUAAAAAUAUCGAUAACUUCGAAAUAGUACAUGAAAUAAACUAGUACUAAUACGUACCGAUUUUCAUAGAAAAGUGGUGCAUCCACCAAUGUGGUAAUGGCUACCUUGAAAGCAACUAUGUGGCAUACUUGUUUGCAAAUAAAUGGGUUAAACCAUGCUGAGUUAGUAUUGUGGGUAGCUAUACACAUAAAAUAAAAUAAAAUACCUCGCCAAUAAUUAUCCCCAAACUUGGAGCAAUUUUCUAAAUGCACAUCAGCUAUACACUUUCCGCGUUUUGAGAAAUACCUGGCAAUAAUAAAUAACAAGUGACCAACAAUCUCAAAAUGUCAAAAACAAUACUUUAUUUAAAGCAUCCUAGCCUCUUAUCAAUCAUCAAUGGAGACCUAAGACAGAUUCAAGAUUUGUUUAGAUAGAAAUAGUUGAUACUAAAAGCAUUAGAAACCAAACUUACCACGUUGUGCGGUUGUUGUGCCCAUGAGCUGGUAUUGCCCUCUUUGGAUGCCCACCAUUCAAGGGUUUAUCACCCAAAGGUACGUACACCUCCCCAGUGGUACUAUUUGGCCUUUUAUCUGCCACCAAUUUCAUGGUUCCCAAAGCUGAACGAGAGUACAAGGCUAAAUAAAUAACAUAUUUGGCUCCUCGACUACAACUAUAUACCAAGCACCAAAAUAUGCUCCAACACAGGCAAGGAAUGUCAGAACAACAAAUUCUCCAUAUAACCUAUACUUACCCUAUCAUAAACAUUGAUAACAUCACAGUUGAAGCCUUUCAAAGCAGGGGAAAUUCAUAAAAAGAUUGACAGAAAAUAUGCCUAUCUACCCGACCGGAAAGCUGAAAAGCAACAUUAAAAAAUAGCUGCAAUGAAACUAGUUCCAAACUUCUACGUAUAUAUAUCGUUUGAUUCAUUUAACUCGUACCACAAAGUCAAAAGCAAAAGAGUCGAGAUAUAGUGAGUCACUUAGUCACUGCUAUUUUUGGCUAGAAAAUAAAGUAUUUUGUACCUCUAAGUAAAAGCGAAAUAAAUAAAGUCACAUAGUCAAUCACUUACACAGUGAGUUUGUUUUUGUCGCUCAAUCCACAUGACCAAAGAAGCAAUUCCUCAUCCAAGUGAAUUGAUGCAGCCUUUGAAUUGGUUCAUGAUCUGAGAAAUUCGAAAAACUAAGGACAUCUUUGAGAUUGGACAGAACAAUAUUUUGGGAACUCUGCUGUCUUACAUGUGUUAAAUUGAGCUCUCUAAUGCCAUGUUGUAACGUGUCCUGUAUCCCUGCAUUAAUCCUGGAAGGAUCAAACUAUCACGUAAAAGACUUGUUCUUCUGAAAAACCAUUGGUUAAUAGUAAUACGAAAUGUCAAAUAUUUUGAACUAAAAUCCCAUUCUCAUAUACCGAAAUAGCUUAGAAAUUAGAAGAUGCAAAUGAAAACAGAACAUCUAAUUUGCUGAAUAAAUGUUGCAGAGAAUUGACUAACCGCUUUACUAAAUAAAUAAGCUGAAGCAGAUGAGUUGAAUUUGAAGCCGAUUGCAUACAUCGCCCCUUGAUGAUAACCAUAUUAGAGAUGGACAGCUUCUUAUUACUAAGUGCUUAAGAAAACAAGUGUUGCUACUCAUACUCUUAUUAUUAUUUUCUUUUUCAUCAACCAAAUAUUGCAAAUUCACGCAAUUCUCAAUACUCAGCUCUUUUAAAGCAGGAGGAAAAGUUACUCUCUGCAAAACAAACCAAGCCUGGACACUUUUCAAGUUCUAUUGUCGUAAUGAAUGGGAAAAUGGGAAAGCAUGUAAGACGUUCGGUAGUCUAUUGAGCCUUUCACAAGCCCUUAUCUCCAGAGAUUCAACACCUGGAAUCUUGUCAAGUUGCAAUAUCUCCUCCUCCGUUUCCAAAGAGACCAAUUGCAGACAAUUCCUAAUCGCGAUGAAAGAUGCCCAACUAUGCUUAACCCAUUUUGCGAUGAAGAUCCCAACUCCUUCCAACCAUAGAUGUUCAAUGUUUCAGAGUUUGCAAAUCUCAACAUUAUCCUCUCUGCUGAAAUAUUAAACUUUGAAAUAUUUGAAAGAUACACGUAUUUCAAAGAGGUAACCUUCUGUACAGACAAAGAACCUUCAUCCACCAAUUCUUCACACCCUUUAUCGCUUAAUUCACACAGCAAGGGAAAACUUGAAAUUGAAACUAGCAGUCUCUUACACUCAUAGAUUUCAAGUCUCUGCAAGGAUUGAAGGAUGGUUGGCAACCUUCCCAACAAUAGAGGACAUUCUCUGAUUGAAAGAAAACGAAGGCUGGGGAAUUUCGAUACUUGCCCAUCAUCUUCAGAUAGGUCCCACUCCUCCCAAUUCAGCAUAUUGCCAAAACGCAGAAACUCUAAUGAUGCAAAAGCAUUUGAUUGAUUUUCUCCAAACAACUCAGCACCAAUCUUGUGUACUUGACCCAAACCGCUAAUUGAAAGAUCUUUUAACAACAACAACCUUCCAAUCGAUGGUAGAGAUUUGCAAUUUUUACAGUUGUGAAGCUCCAAUGACAACAUAUUCUUGAAGGAAGAAUCUGCAAUCCAAGUAGAGAAUUUUGCACCACCAUAAUUCUGAAUGACGAGUUGUUCAAGCUUUUUCGAAGGAUGAAGCGAGUCUAACACCCAUUCUUCAACUUUUUUUUUCCUUGUAUCUUUAGAUAAUGCAAGUUGACAAGAUUUCCCAUCUUUGAAGGUAGCCUUUGAAGCCUGGAACAAUUUUUUUAUAAUAAAGUUUCCAAAUGGUAGAGAGUGCACAAAAAAUCGGGAAGGCAUAUGAUAGGGGUGUGAGAAAAAUUUAAGUAGCGAAGAUGUUUUAAAUUUUCAAAAACAUCAGGCAACUCAGUGAUCCAACUCAAAUCUACCACCCUUAAGUAGCCAAGUCUUGACAACAGAUCAACCAAAACAACAUUAGUUAAAAAAGGCACCCAGAAUGACAUCUUUAAAUUUCCAAAAUUUCAUCCCAUUUUAAUUCUUUUUAAAAUGUAUAUUAUUUUUAAUUGAAUAUUUUAUUUUAUUUUGUUGGUGAAUUUUUUAUUAAAAUUUAAAUAUAUCUUUUAAUGUUACAUUAUAAUAUUAUAUAUUUAAUUUAAUUUAAUUUUAUAUAAAUUACAUUCUAUACAUAUAUGAUAGAGUAGAAAAUGAUUUGGGCUUAGCCAUUUUAAUUUUGGAGCCCAAGCAUGGCUCAUUUUAAACAAGCUUAAUUUUUUUUUGUCUAAACUUAUAUUUCAAGCCUCGUUCUUUUUAUCUAAACCCUUUCAUAUUUUAAGCUCAUUUAGAAUGAGUCUAUCUACAAAAGAAAAGCUUGUGAAAAGCGCAUAAUUAGUAAUUAGAAAUUGUCACACAUGUAAAAAUAUAAUAUAUUAUAUAUAAAUUUAAAUUUUAAAAAUAAUAUUUUAUAUAUAAAUUUUAUAUUUUUGAGAAAUAAUAAUAUUUUAAAAAAGAUGGAUAGAAUUUUUUUCUAAUAAUUAGAAAUUAGUGAAUAAUAAUGAGUAGUUUAGUUUUUGAGAAAAAAAAAAGAAAUAGUUUUAAUUGAGAAAAUGAAUUUAUAAGAAAUGUUGAAAUGAUGUAAUCAUCUCUAUAUUUAACAAAAUAAUAACAUUAGAUUUUUCAUGCUUUUACCAAUUGACUUUGUGUCACUCGAUUUGAUGUAUCAAAUUUAAUUAGACAUUUUAUCAUAGCAUAAAUAAUUAUCUUGUAAUUAUAUGUAUUUAAAUUAACUUAGUUUUUAAAUCCGUCACCAAUCUUUAUAUUUUUUCUCUCUUGUAAUUAUAUUUUUACAUAAUUUUUUUAUAAUAUAUGAUAUGAUCAUAAAUUAAACCCUUAAUUAUAGUUAUUAAGCUUGCAUUUUUUCCGUUAAAGUCAAGAAAUUAAUUUUUUAUUGGGAAACAUUUUUAUAUUAGUUAAUUAUGAGAAAUCAUUUUUAUGUGAAAGUGUGUUAAACUAAUUAUAUUAUAGAAAAGUAUAUUUAAUGAUAGGCUCAAUUUACAUGUUUAUUGUGCUUAAAUUUGAUAAAUUCUUUAAUGAGAUAUCACUAAUUUUGGGUUUAUUAUUUGAUUUUUGAUUAGGUGCAAAAGCAAACUUAGAAAGUAAAAAAGUCAGAAAUGCAAGUUGUCGUAAAAGUUUUGGGACAUGAUCUGUCCUUUUUUUGGUACAAUAACAUGACAAAACCCGAAUAACAAACACGACUAACGUGCCUCAAACCCAAAUCAUAUCUGGGAUAGUGAACAACCUUAAUCACAAAGCCAUUAUAUAGGGUUCGGAAAAGAAAGAGAGUAGUUUUAAUUUUUGGUUAGGAUAAUAUUUUAAUUUUCUAGUAUUUUAUCUUUUGAUAUAUUUUUAGAUAACACUUUAAUGUUGGAUUAGAUUAAAGAAUUUAAGUAGGAUUAGGCAUUUUGAGAUUUAUAUAUAGUCUAAAAGGGACAGCAAUUCAAUUGCUUUCUUUUCUUCUCCCUUUCUAAUUCUGUUCUUUCUCUUGCACAAUAUUGUGCCGCCACGCCACCCUCCCCCCCUUUUUUUUCCCUUUCUUUUAUUUGUUUAUUUCUUUUAUUUAAUUUUUGUUGAACCCUCUACACUAGUAUGCUUAAUUUCAUGAGUAAUUAAAAUUCCCAUCUAGCUUUAAGUCAAGACUCAAUUUGGGAGAGAGUCGUAAGAUUCGAAAUCAUACUUUAAAACCUUCAUUUCAGUAUUUGUUAUUUUUCUGGUUUAGGAGAUAGAUACUAUCGUCUCAUAAGGUUGUUUUGGCACCAAAUGAGUUCAUUCCUUUGGUUUUAAUAAAGAAUCAAUACUAUCGAUUGCCGUAUUCGAUCUACCAAAAAAACACAUUGACGUGUCCAAUUAAGUGGUUGAUUUAAACAAUACUUAAACAAAUAACUACACGAUGGUGAGGACGAGUAAAAACUUUUAAUAUCAUCCAUAUAUUUUAUAGGUGGUGUAUUGCUAUGUAGUAUACACUUAAUGGGUUGGCCUAUAUGAGUGUGUAGAGAGGCCGCUUCUAUGAGAUCUUUGGCAAUCUUUAGAGCACUCAUAAAAACUAGGCACGUGCAUGACCUAUUAGCACACAAUCGCAUUGAAGAAUGAAUCAUAAAUAUAAUGUGAUAAGUGAAAAAGUUAAUUUGGAAAUUAAAUAAUUAGUUCAAAAACUUAUUUCAUCAAUUAUUAAAGUAAAUCAUGUCUCAUUUGUUAAAAAUUCUGGUUCACAGUACAAAUGACAAUAUGAUUAUUGCAAUAUAUUGAAACACUCACUUAUAAAUUAAAUCUUUGAAAUAUGUGGGAAAUUAUUGGAAGUUUUCAUUUAUUUCAAAGAACUACAAAAAUCUCACAUUGCUAAAAAAAGAUCUUGAGUCAUUAUUUAUUAAGUCAUUAUACUUCUUUGAACUUAAUAAGAAUCAAAUUGAGAGAGUAGACUCGUGCACAUUCGAGCCUUUUUGUUUUUGGACUUAUUUUUUAUUGAAGUUUUGAGAGUUAAAGAAAAGUUAACUUGUAACACCUAUAUUUAAUCAUGCUAAAUAUAAUUUAAUCGAUUGAAGCUAUUUUUAAUUAAGUCCAAAUUCAUUGAACUAUUUUCAAACUAGUUUUAGCUAAUUGAAUCAACUUACCUUUGCUAUAUUAAGCCAAUGAAAUCCCUAUAAAUACCAUGCAUGGCAGUUUUCAAAGUUACUCAUUAGCUUUCAUCUUCUCAUCUAAAUUUCUUCUAUAUUCUCUUUAGAAAACCUUCCUCCUACAAUCUCAAUUGAGUGUUUAAUUGGUCGGCUCUUUAGAAAAGCCUUCAAAGAUAAUGAUAUUCACGCUCAUGAUUCUAAUUUUCUAAACCUCCGAUUUCUUAAGAGAACAUCAAGAGCAACAACCAGUCAAAUUUUAAGCUCAAUUAAAUGAAUUCACAAACUUAUAGAGUUUAUUAUUAUUAUUUUAAUUAGUAUCAAAAGUUCUCAAUUCAAGCUUGAAUUAUAAGUCAAAUUUUAAUUUUGUUAUUCAAGCUUUAUCUCAAAUCAAGCUCAAGCUUUAAAAGUGAAAUUUGAUUGAACUUGAGUUAAAUUUUGAGUAUCGAAUUUUAAAUUAGCUCAAAAUUUUCAAGUUAAGCUUUUGACUUGAUUACAUGGUUAGUGUAAAUCUUACAAAUGUAAAGUAUAAUAUAAUUAUAUAAAUUUUGAUACUAUAAUAAUUUCAAUUUUAAAAUUUUAACACAACUAUGGUCUAGAAUGUCCCAUUAUCAAGAAGCUUAAAAAUUAGAAGAUGCAGAUGAAAACAGAGCAUUCAAUUUGCUGAAUAAAUGUUGCAGAGAAUUAAGUAACCGCUUUAUUAAAUCAAAUAAGCUAUAGCAAAUCAGUUGAAUUUAGCUUUCAGUGCCUGCAAAAUUAAAUACAAAAUAUAUACGACUGAUUGCUAUUAUCAUCUUGUUCCUGAGGACAGUCAGAUACAUGGAACUAAAACAGCCAAUGUUUAAAACGGUUUCAUACCUUGAUACAACAUAAGGUAUGUGGGAAAUCGUGGACCACUCUCGUCCUUUACCCCUAAAAGUGGACAUAAUUAAAAAGGAAAACUUGUCUGUGAUAGAAAAUGAGGGGCUUUAAUUAAAUUACAACCAACCAGGAUGAACUCUGUUUCUGGAUUGAACUAUUGGAAUUGGUAAUCAGUGACUUAUUCACUAAGAACUAACUAUUCUGUCACCUUAUAUUCUUCCUAUAAUUUCAGGUUUAAUCCUGUUGAAUUAUACAUUCAGUCCACUGCAAUAUGAACCCGUGAAAACCACACUAAAUGAAACUGAUUGUUUAAGGAUCCCAUUCAUAUGAUGCAGCACUGCAAUGGGUGAUUAAACUGACUGUUUAAUCCUGUUUCUGUACACUACGCUUCUUCAAAAUCAUGCCUAGCCGAACUCUCUGACAUUGUGGACCGCAAGCGCACUCAAGGACAUAUUGUUCUUCCCAUCUUUUACCAUGUUGAUCCCUCUGAGGUUCAGCAUCUUAGUGGGAGUAUCAAGACAUACUUUGAUGACCAUGAAUCAAAGAGGCCUGUUGAUGAAGUGAAGCGAUGGAAAACUGCCUUUGUUGAAGUCUGUAAAUUAAUUGGGUGGCAUAUAGGUGGAAAAUUCGACAAGCAUCUAUAUAGUUUCUUUUCAUUUUCUUAUAUAUUUAACUUUCUUUUUUUUUUUUUGGUUUAUUUGCUAAGCUUGAAUUCGAGUACAUUAAAGAUAUUGUUGAAUAUGUUAUAAAAAGAAGAUGACAAAUAGCGAGUCUAAAAGUGCUUCUUAAGAAUUUGUUGGAAUAGAUGAUCAAUGAAGGAUGAUUUUGAGGCCAACUAAGGAAGAAGACAACUUUCCACAUUUUGGAAAAGACCUAGCCAUAAUAAAUAACAUAUGAGCAACAUUUUCUCAAUCUCAAAAUGUAAAAAGCAAUACUGUAAUAUCCUUUGAAGUUUGUUCGAAGAACAUUAGAAUGCUAAUCAUUAGAGUUUCAACUUAAGAUUGAGCACAAAAAAUAUUGAAAAGUUUCAGGUACUAGGUGUAUUUUGAAAGAGUUGCUCCUAUGGCAUUUUCUCACCAUUCUUUUUCUUCCAUGGAUCCAAAUGCCUGUAAAAGAAAAACAAGGAAUAAAAAAGCAUAUCUACAACUCCAACAGAAGAGGGGAAUACCGGAAGAACAACCUCUACUUACCCUAUCAUAAACACUGAUAACAUCACUGUUGAAGCCUUCCAAAGCAGGGAAUCUUCAUGUAAAGAAUGAUUGAAAACCCGCUGUGACACAUUUAGCUUUGAAGCUUCAGAUAGCUAGCCUGUCAAAAUGAUCAAAUAACAUAUCACAACUACCAUACAUGUGGUCUGAGCAUGAGAAAAUGAGGGAUGCUCUGAAAAUUUGGUGAUGAUCCAUCCCAUCCAUAAUCACAACGAUUGCGCUCAACCGAUGCAUCAAGAAGAGAAGUGCACACAUAAAAGUACAAAUACCGAGGAAAGCCAACUAAACAUCCUUCAAUAGUACAAUGAAAUGUCAAAUGUUUUUAACUAAAUCCCAUUCCCAUAUACAUAAGGCAUAACAAUUGCAGUUGAGCGAUUGCUCCAAGCCCAUGCCAUAUAGUACAAAGCAAAGGAUCCUUAAGGACGAGGACGAUAUAAGAGUUAAUCAAACAUAUACGCAAAAAAAAGCUUAGAAAUCAAAAGCUGCCGAUGAAAACAGAACAUUCAAAUUGCUUAAUAAAUGUUGCCGAUGAAAAAUAUAUGAAUAUACGCAUAAAUUUAGUAUUGCCAUUAAAUAUCAUGAGCACUGCACAAAUUUAAAGAAAAAAAAUUCUCUACAUUUCCAUUUUAUUUGACAUAUCUAGAUUUGUAAUUUGAAACUUUGUUCUUAUUCACUUGAAUUAAAAUUUGAUCUAAUCUGAUUUUAUCAUUAAAAAGAGCCAACAGCCUAAAUCUUAAUUGAGACGAAUAAAAGCCUAAUCAUGUGGUUUUGUGAGAAACUAACACUAGGGUAAUCUAAAAUUAAACGCCUGAUGAUCUCUCGACUCUUUUAGCUUCUUGCUAGGGAAUUAGAUUACUCUCACACACUAACACACACAUUUCCCCUAAGGUAGCUACGCUAGUUUUCUUGACUUCCCCUCUUAAUCACAGCUCUCAUUUCUAGUGAUUUUAUCCCUACAGAUUGAUCGACCAAUCAUGCUAAAUCGCUAAAUAAAAUAUCAUGCUGGCUGUGUGAAAAGAAAAUAUAACAAGAGAACACAAUGUGGUUCGGGAAUAUUAUUCCUUAGAACAACAGGCAGAACCAAGAAUGAAAAUUACAUCAUAAAAUAAAAUACCUCACCAUAAUAACCAUUCACAAACUUUGAGCAAGGUUCUAAAAGGUCAUCGACGGUAGACUUUGCAACUCUGGUACCAUUUGGCUUUUAACCCCCCAUCAAAUUUUGUGGUUCUCAAAGCUGAGUGAAUGUAGAAGGCUAAAUAAAUAACAUAUUUGGCUCCUUCACUUCUUUUUAUGAAGGUUUCCUUGAAGUGCCCUAUAAGAGUAUGAUAAUGCUAAUCAUUAGAGUCUCGGUUUAUAGAUUAAACAAAAAAUGAAAAGUUUCAAGUAGCAUUGGUAUUAUGAAAGGGUUAAUUCAAGGCCAUUUUCUCACCAAUUUUUCUACCUUGAUUCCACACAAUCCACAUGAUCAAAAAUGUAAAUUCUCAUCAAGUGAAUUGAUGCAGCUCAAAAGUAGCCUUCUAAUGAUUUCGUUGUGUUAAUGCCUAAAUUGAGCUCUCUAAUGCCAUGCCGUGGUGUGUAGUGUAUCCUUCCUGUAAGGAUCAAUACCAUGUUCAUAGUGGUUAUGAAAUCUGUUGACACUGAUAUCCUUAUAUCAAUACCAUGUUCAUAGUGGUUAUGAAAUCUGUUGACACUGAUAUCCUUACUCAAUAACCACGAAGAUCUAUAAACUAUUACGUAAAUACUUGUUCUUCUAGAACACCUUUGGGUAAUAUUUGACAUAGAUAUGUAAAACAGUUUAUAAAAUUUUGCAUGUAUUUAAAAGAUCAUAUCUUUUAUACUCGUCAAGGUGAAACUAAGAAACAUGAUUUAAAUAGUUCACUCGCACUCACUUUUAAAGGUGGAUUCUUGAGGUUUUAGCUAAAGUUAAAAAAAGCUUGAGUUCAAUUUAACAACUAGGACUCGAAGCUUGACUCAAGUUAGAUCAAGUUUCAGUUUCAAUGUAGAGCUCGAUUUUGAUAUAAAAAUUUACUUAAGUUCGUUAUAUUAGAUUCGUUUACCAAAUAAAAUGAAAAAAAAGGGUCAAAUUCUAUUAUUAAUUCUUACACUAUGUAUAAGUCAUGGAUUUAGUUUAUGUAUUUUAAUUUGGUUAUUUUUAGUCACUAUACUUUUUAAAAUUUAAAAUUUCAAUCUUCAUCAAACAGUAACUAUUAAAUUUAUUAAGUUAAACUAUACUAUUUUAAAAAAUAUGAUAUAAAAAAUUAUAUUAUCAUAUUAACUUGUUAUUUUCAUAUAAUACUCAUAAAAAGGUCACAUUAUUUUAGUUAAUGAAUUUAACUACUAUCGUUUGAGUCAAUAUUGAAAUAUCAAAUUUGAAAAGCAUAAAGACUAAAAACGAUCAAAUUGACGACCAAAUUAAAGUACAUGAACUAAACUUACAACUUAUGCGUAAUAUAAGGACUAAUAGUGAAAUUUGACCAAAAGAAAACAUGAAAUGAAACAUGCAUACAUACGUACCCUAAGUGCAAGGAAGUGUCUGAGAGAUGGUUGUCAUCAUCUGAUGCACUAUUAUUAUCAUCAGCCUUUGAAUUAUUUGGUGAAUGUUCAAGUCUUCUUUCCAGCAAUGGAUUCAAUUCUAGUAUAUUCGAGCUCCUUUUUUGUCUCAAUUCCUCAACCUUAAAACCACAUUCAAUAAUCAACAAAAUACAAUAUUACACACUCCAAAAUCUUAAUAUUAUAUAUAAGCUAAACUACACUACUAAUCACCCAAUUAUCGGUAAGUUUAUUUUUUGAUUACCCAAUUAUAAAAAGUUACAAAAUUGUCAUGAUUUUGUCCUUUUUGUCAUCCGUUAUUAAAUGGCUAAUGGCUAAUGGAAAGAUUACGUGGCAGGUUUUAAAAUUGGCAUUAUAGCGAUUUUAACCCUCAACAUUUAUACAUUGUGUCGAUUUAGUCUUGACUCUAAAAAGUUUAUCUCUCAACAUUUACAUGUAGUGUAAUUUAGUGUUUUUUACAAUUUUUUUGUGUGACCUUUUAACAGCUUAAAAAGCUAAAAAAAUAAAUUUAUCCAGCUCAAUUUUAUCAAAAAUAUAUUAAAUUAACACUCAAUGUCACAAAAAAAAGCAAAACUGCAAAAAAGACUAAAUUAUAGAAUGUGUAAAUGUUGAGAGUUAAAUUUUUUAGAAUGAAGACUAAAUUGACACAGUAGAAAUGUUGAGAGUUAAAAUUGCUAUUAUACUAAUUUUAAAAGCCAUUAAAUUAUCUUUCUGUUAGUGAUUUAACUGUUGGUGACAAAUAGUUUACUCUUAUAUAUAUAUAUAUGUAAAUACAUGUGUGCAUGUGUGUAGCAGUUGAUUAUACGUUUGACCUACGUACCUGUUUGCGUAGAUCUUCAUUCUCCAUUAUAGUCUUCUGUUCCUGAAAAUAUACAAAUAUUAAACCAGAAAUCAUUAGCAUUAAAUGUUAAUUACAAUUAUUUCAAAAGUAAAAUGUACCUGUAAUCUAGAUCUUUUAAGCUGCUCCAUUAGAAUUUACUCCUACAACAAUAAAACUUCAGUUUCUAGAGCUCACAAUUAGGCUCCUAAUGAAAUUAUUUUAAGUUUGUGUUUGUAGGAGAGUUACUAAAUAUACUUAAAUUAUGUUUGUUUGGAGUUAAUAUUGAUUAAAAUUAGAGAUAAUUUAUGGACGAAAAUAUUAAUUUAUUUCAAAUGAUGAAGCAUAGCAACUUUAAUAAUGUUGAGGGAUUGGAUCGGCGCAUCCGAGAAUGAUACUUUGAAGAUUUCUCUCGGAAGAACUGAUCUGUAGUCAAGUGGUACCAUAUACCUCAACAAUUGACCUAUAUUCAAUAAGUUAGGGGUUCGAAUCUCACCAAGGGCAAGACGUUCAAGUCGCCUAUUGGUGGGUGGUUGUACAUCCAUGUACGGUUAAAAACUAAUAUAUAUAAGUUUUAUAGACCGUUACAAACUAAUAUACACUCAUAUAAGUCGAUAUUAACUAAAACAGAUCAAAACACAAUGAAAUUUUAACUGAAACGAAACUUAAACUACUUUAUAUUAAUUCAAUAUUGAGAGGAUAGCCAAUUAUUAAGAAAAGAAAAAUAAUGGAAAUUAAUCAAAUUAUAGGUCAACUUACUUUCAUGCUUACAAAAAAAAAUUGCUAAAAUUAAAAAUUGAAAAAACCCAGAUUUCGAUUAUUAAAAAUCAUCUAUAAUAUAUAUAAGUAUUAUACUAUAUGAUAUACCUAGUGCUGGACCAUUGAUAGACCUUGCCGGUGCUUGAAAAAAUAAUAACCCCAACCUCUGCAUCACAUAAAAUGGACAAUUCUUUAGCUUUCUUCAACAACCCAUUUCGCCUCUUUGAAAACGUUACUUGCCUGCUAUUCAAAUUUUCUAUCUUUUUUAUUUCAAUUUUCCCUCUACCCAUCUCAAAAUUUUCUUCAUUCCUUUACUUUUCCCGGAAAUUUUUAAAAGAAAAGAUAAACCCCAGAUAUUUUUUUUCUUAAAUUUUGAAAAAAACCAAAGGUUUUUAUAACAACAAACAGAUCAAAGAAAAUAAGGCAAAAAAUUUAGGGGAUUGUAAAAGGAUUCUUUUUUUAAGAGAAAAGAAAAUAAGUAAGUAAUGUUUAUAUAUAACAAUUGUUUUCUUAAAUGGAAAUGGAAAUGGAAAUGGAAAAUGAUAUGGAAAAAGAAGAUAUGUGACCAAAAUUAGGGUGAAAUCUUGAAAGGUGACAGAUUUGAUACUAUAUCUAGCAUUUAUCCAACUAUGGAAACUCUAUUUAUUAUAGCUUUAGUUUCUUUUUUCUUUUUUCUUUCUAUUUUUCUUAAUUUCUCUACCUUUUUACUCUGCUGUUUUUGGCACUUCAACUCAAAAUGGAUUUUAUUUUUGCUUUGGGUUUCUUUUUUCAAAUAUAAAAAGUGGUUUUUAAUUAUUUAUAGAUUAUUAAUGUGUUUUAACAAUUUUUGUUAGUGAAUAUUGAUUUUUUUUUUGUGAAUUACAAUAGGAGGGCAAAGCCCUAAUAACAACACGACUAGAGCGAUUCGAAUUUAGGCCACACCUGAGACGUUGAACACAAGUAUUUCACGAGGACAUAUAACACAUGUUUUUUAAAUUCAUGGCUAAAAUAAUAAUAAAAACCUCUUUAUUUUAUUGUAUUCAAAUAAUAAAAAAAACCAUGGUUUUAGUCGUAUCGGCCGGUGCCGCCGUUCUACUAUUAUAGCGCAACAAGCAUCACCCUUUUCCAUCCUAAUGAAAAUUUUGGUUUGUACCAUUCACAUUGACCAGAACACGGUACACCUGCUGCAUAAAUAAUGUUAAAAAAUAUAAAACUUUUAACUAUUUUCUAUUAGACUAAAUAUUUAAUUGAAAUGUAUUGACCAAUAAAAAAUAUUACACUAGAAAGUAAAGUUUAACCUUUAAAACUUUUUUAGAGCAUACUUUUUCUUUUAAAAUAUAAAAAUUAAAAUUAAUAAAAAAAAAACUCACUCACCUCGUUAUCAUAGAAAAAUAUUCACUCGUCCUUCAGCUUUUUUUAUUGAAAAAACCCCCUCAUCCUUCGAUUUCUUUUUUUUCUUCUUAAUUUUGAAUUUAUUGAAUGAUGAGUUUUUACUUGUGGAGUUUAUUAAUCAAUAUUUUAUAUAAUUGAUGAAUAGUUUUAUAUUAAAAAUUUAUUUAUAAUAAUUUAUUUGAUAUUUGUAUAUUUAUUUAUAUAAAUAUAUUAAAUAUUUUUAAAAAUAUCGAUAAAUUCAAAAUGGUACAUAAAAUAGACUAGUACCAAUCCAUACCGAUUCUCAUAGAAAAGAGGUUUUCUGCUUAAAAUAUUUGAAACACACAAACUUUUAAAGGAGGUAACCUUCUGUACCGACAAAGAACCUUCAUCCACCAAUUCUUCACACCCUUCAACCCAUAUUUUACGCAGCAAGGGAAAACAAGAAAUUGAAACUACCAGUCUCUUACAGUUGUAGAUUUCAAGCGUCCGCAAGGAUUGAAGGAUGGUUGGCAACCUUCCCAGCAAUAGAGGACAUUUUCUGAUUGAAAGAAAACGAAGGCUGGGGAAUUUCGAUACUUGCUCAUCAUCUUCACAUAGGUCCCACUCCUCCCAAUUCAGCAUAUUGCCAAAACGCAGAGACUCUAAUGAUGCAAAAGUAUUUGAUUGAUUUUCUCCAAACAUCUCAGCACCAAUCUUGUGUACUUGAUCCAAACCACUAAUUGAAAGAUCUUU
rnacentral:lncRNA from 1 species